rnacentral:lncRNA from 1 species
GGUACAAUAACUUAGGUGAAUUGAAUGGAGAGAAGACAAUUCGUAGAUGGUUUAGAAAAAAAAAAGUUGAGAAUAAGCAGAGAUAUACACUUGGUUAUACCUCAAUCUAUUUCUCAUGGAUCAGGAAAGUCAACUCUGCAGGGAUUACCACCAGACCAAAUAAUGGAGACAGAAUAAGAAAAUAUUAACAGAAAAAUAUAGUGUCAAAACCCCUAAAUUCCUCAUGCACAAAAGAUAAAUUAGUAUAGGUGAGAAAAUAACUUCCCUCCAAAUAAGUUUACUAGCCCUUGAUCCGAGAAUGGAGAGGUAAGUUGAACCACCUUCACUGAAGGCCCUAGUAAUAUAGGAAAUUAUAAGACAGAGCAGAUCUACCAUCCAGAGAUCUCUCACUCAAUUCAAGGAAACAACAGAAAACAAGUAGGGAAAGAGAGAGCUCCUCCAAAAUCUUUUCGCCCAGAAUAGCACAGUAACAAACAUGAUAACAAUGCUUUGAUCCAAGCUAUCCUAAAAUGAAGACGAGAGAAGCCAUUACCAACAAACACCAGUGAUCUCACGGCAAACAGAACAAACAAGAGAACUCCUGAUUUACCACAUCCAUCCAAGAGAAGAGAGCACUUUUUGCCCAUGCAGAACUCCACCAUUCUAAGACAACCACACCAAAAGAACCAGAAAAGAAGAGACAAUCUUAGAAAAAGAAAAGAACAAGUACCAUUCAUGAAGUACACAACAUACUGCAAAAGUGCAAGAAAGUGCAGGCCUUCAUGAUCAAUUCUUAAUCAACACCACAGAGAAACUUCUGGAAGCCCAGAGCCACCACCUAUAGCAACAUCACCUAAAGCAAACAAAAAACACCACCUGGAGGUCCAGGUAAAAGCUCCAGAUUUUCAUUACAUUCAGACCCAUCCAAUUUAUUCACGAAGAGACACAUCCCAGAGACCUCCCUUUGACUGCGGAAAGCAACACAAAAAGCCAACAAAAAUUCAAAAUUCGACACAGAUGAGAACUGACAAUGGAAUGAACCAAUAACACCAGCUUUUUACAAAUUUAGAUUACCUACCAUAACCCCAAACCUAUUCAUAUAACAAGCAUAAACUUCAGAUCAUGAUGAACCACCAAAACACCAGAACCUACCUUAAAACAUGUUUAGUGGCAGAAUUUCAGCACUAAGAAAUACUUCAGAAGAUCAAAAUCGCCAAACUGGUAAGAUCCUAAGCAUCUGAGAACCAUUCCCCAGAGAUAAAGAAGGCAUGGGAUAAGCAGCAAAAUGGGUGCAUGUGAAUUGAAUGGGCAGGUCGAAGGUGUUCAACCAUUAAUCGCUGGGAUUAAGCAGUGAUACCUUUUCCUUGAGGAUCAGGAACACAAGACUUCCAAGCAAUUACUGACAAAACAAUAAUGCAUAACAUUUCUACAAACAUGGUGGACUAUGGAAGAAAAGAUUUACAAAAAAACUAGAUUAUAUUUAUAAUAGUCUGCAGACAUCAAAAAGUACUAAAACCUGUAAAAUGCUCAAGCCAAAAAAAUAAAGAAUGAUAAGCAUAGUAAGAAGAUAAAUCCCCCUCUAUAAUAAUGUACUAGCCUUUGAUCUUGAGGACAGAGACCUAAGUUUUGGCCACACCUCUGAAUCACCAGAAUCCUAGAUUCGACACAAAAUGAUAUGGUAAAUUAGAGAACAAGUAGAGAAAAUCAUUUUUAAAGAAACAGCAAAAAAAAGAGCAGGGAAAGAGAGAGCUUAUCCAAAAUCUUGUUACAAAACCCAUUAGCAGGGUACCAAACACACCAACACUCCUGCAACAAGCUUCCCUAAAAUCAACACAACAGACAGAAGGCAUCACCAACCGCCACCUUGAUUUUUUCAGGCAGAGGGAACAAAGAAAGACCAGGUUGAAAAGAUAUCCCGAUUUUAUUCACAUCCAUCCAAGAGAAAACUCUCGCCUCCACACACCAGAAAUCCACUAUUCUUGAAAGACAUCAAAAAAACCAGAAGACAAGACAAAUCUUGAAAAAUCACCAAGAACAAAACACAGUAAUUAGCGUCAAGUCCUUUUACCAAUCCACUCUAUAGGGAGACUGCUGAAAAACCAGAACUGCUGCCUACAGCAAUGCAAAAAUAAAGCAGAAAGCAAAAUCAAGGAUCACAUUCACAUCCAUUGCAUAAUUCCACGAAGAAUCACAUCCCAUAAUUCUAAAAAAAUGGCAUCCAAAAGCCCAUGUUCCGUCACCACCCUCAAUAAAGGAAUGGAUCAAAAGACUUGGCACAAAGACAAGAAUAAUCCUCAAAUAAAAACUCUGAACAAGUUAUCAUUCAAUCAAACCAAUAUGCAUAGCCUUAACUCUUCUUCAGAUCAAGUUGCAUAAGCAAAAUACCAGGAACCCCAACCAUACAAAAGUUUGAUGACGGAAUCUACUUCCUGUUAUAUACUGAGCAGCACAUAACCAUCCCCAAAGAAAAGCGCUGGAUUAAGCUAGUCCAUCAAAUACAAAAGCCAAAAAAAAUGCUAACCUUCGGUGAUUGAAUGGGUAGGUUGAAAGCAUUCAUACAGUUUUUCCAGAAAUAAAUGGUUGAAUAGCAAAGAUAUGCACUUGGUUACAACCCGUUCUAUUCAGAGUGGAUCAGGAAAGUUGACUCUGCAUGACAUGCUGCAGACCAAAAAGAUUCACGGACAAAUUAUAUUAUAAAUAUGGUGUCCAACCCCCUAAAUUCCUCAAGCACAAAAGAACAAUUAGCGUAGGUGAGAAAUUAACUCCCUCCAAAAAAUUUUACAAGCCCUUGAUCCGAGGAUGGAAAGGCAAGUUUGAAUCACAAAUCACUGGAACCCAAAGUUGCAACACCCUAGUAAUAUAGGAAAUUAGAGAACAAGCAGAGCAAAUCCACAAAUGUCCUAAUCAACUUCAACAAAACAGCAGAAAACAACCAGGGAAAUAGAGGUCCUCCAAAAUCUUGUUAAGCCCGAAUAGCAGGGUAACAAACAUGAUGAAAAUGCUCCGAUCCAAACUUCCCUAAAAUGAAGAUAAUAGUUAAGCCAUUACCAACGCGCGCCAGUGAUUUUUAGCAAAGAACACAAACAAAGAAUUGAUUGGCAGAAGAGAACUCCCAAUUUAUCACCUUCAUCCAUCCAAGAAGAGCUCUUUUUGCUUCUAUCCAUCCAGGAAGAGCUCUUUUCACUUUCAUACACAGAACUCCAUCAUUCUAAGAUCACAUCAAAAGAACCAGAAUUUAAAAGCUAAGAAAUACUUGACAACAUCAAUAUUACCAUAUUGAUACGAUCCUAAGCAUCUGAGAACAUUCCCAAAGACAGAAGGCAGGGAACCAAAAUAAAUUCAAAAGCCUAAAGAGAACAAAUGGGCAAAACGCAGCAGCAGCAGCAAAAUAGGUGGAGGCAAAUUGAAUGGAGAGGUUGGAAGCUAUUUCAAUGGUGUUUGUCCUGGGAAGAAAAGGUCUGCAGAUAUCAAAAGGUGACAAAAGCACAAGAUUGUUUGGAAGAAUAUAACUCCCUCCAAAACAGUUUACCAUCCGAGGAAGGAAGGCUCAGUUGUCACUACAACUCCGAAUCACUGAAACCCUAUAUUGCACAACACAAAUGCAGGAGAUCAGAAAACGAACUCGCUGUCUCACAGAGCAAAUCAGCAUCAACAGCUGAAAACAAUCAAGACAGAGAAAACUUCAGGAAUCUUGCAAACCAGUAUAGCAGGACAAAAACAUGACCAGAGCCUCCUGCAUCCAAGCUCCCCUAAAUCAAUACAACAGAUAAGGCCAGUUGCUAAUUGACUCCCCAGUUAAUUUUUUCAGGAAAUAAAAAAGGAAACCAAAAAAAAGGGCGAGGGAAAAACUCCCGGUGUCGUAGAUGAUAUUCGCAUCCAGAAAGUCUUUUUAGCCCCACCGAAGACUAGGAUUCUGCCACGCCACAACGAGAACAUCAAAAGAACCAGAAAAAAAGACGAAUCUUGAUAACAAAAACGAUCGAGAAAUUACUAAUUAACAAACCCAACAAUAGUAAAAACUCAAUCUUCCUCAUCAAUCCUGGAUAGACAACACGCCAAAACUACCGAAAGUCCAGAGCACGCCUACAGCAAUCACAACAACAAUAACAGCCACAGAUUAAAUAAAACUCCAGAUUCAGAUUACGCUCACAUCCAUCCAACAGAAAGUUGCUUCCUACUCCAUCCGCCCGAAAUCCAUCAUUCUACAAGAAGCACGGCAAGAAAACCAGAAAGAAGAACCAAAACGGGGCUAUUUUUGAACCAAAACAGGGCUAAUUUUGAAGGAAAUUUGAUGUCAAAUUUGUCCGAUAAUUGGAAUGAUCCAGAAAUUACCACGUAAACAAACCGAAUCUAGUGCAAAAACUGGUAUCCUUCCCGUUCAAUCCUUCGAAAUACCCGAUCAACCGCCAAAAAAAAAACCAUGAUUAAAUCUCAAAAGUCGCAUCAAAAAAAUUAGCGAUAAUAAGCUUCAAAUUAAUCAAAUCAUCACAACCAUAGAAGCAACGAUCGAACCUAGCGAUAAUCAUCAACCGAAGAUCCUAACCUUCAGCUGAGACAAAAAACCACAACAAUUGAAUCUCAUUUAGCGAAAGCCUAACCGUAGAAUCCCAAGAAAACCCACGAUGAAGAUAAAAGCAUGAUUUCUUACCACAAACGAAACGGAAGCAAAAGGCCACAGGAAAGGAAAGCGGGGAUUGGGGGUAUUUAUAGAUGCUUGGGAAGAGAAUGAACUGCUAGGAUUAAGCGUCUUACGUGAUCUGGACGGUUAAAAAGAGCUCUUAUCCUCGUUGGACUCGGGCUAAGAUUCCCUUACGCGUAUUGCCCCAAAGUCGGUUGUUUAUUUGAUUUAGGAAAUGUGGUCGCCACCAGAUUUAUACAUAUUUUUUUUUUUGGGUGCGAUAGAAAUCAUUUUCUUUUACUGAAAUUAUUUUUAAAAAAACCUUGACAGCUGUGCAUGGUCAAAGCCCGUAGGCUUAGGGAACUUUCUCAAAACUUCCGUUCGAAUUGUUUUUUUUUUUUUUUUUUGUAGAAAAAUGUACAAUAAUCAUUUGACGUAUAUGAGAUAAAAAUAUAAUUAAAAAUAAAUUUAUAAAGAAGAUAAAAUUGUUUUAGAGAAAAAUGACAAGAUCUAAUUUAGUAUAUAAAUUGAUUUGUUUAAAUAGAUUAUUUUUUAAAAAAUUAAUUACAUCAAAAGCACUCAUGCUUUAUGUCACAAAUAUGUUGUUGGUGUGCUAUGUGUGUGGAUUGAAGAUUAUUUCACUUUAUUUAUACCUUAUUGACACAUACUGAUUUGAUUACAUUAUCAACACAUUUUUCAAUCACCUUUUUAUCUCACAUACAUCACAUCAAAAAAGUGUUACAAUAAAAAUAUCUCAAAUAAUUUACAAUCCAAACACAUUGCCUUAAUAUAUGUUUAUUACGUAAUCUCCUUAUUUUGAUUUUUUAGUUUCUUGAAUAAAUUAAAACACUUAGACUUUUAAUUGGUUGCAAUUUAAUAAUAAAAUAGUGGUUGAAUGCAAUAAUGGAUAGCAAGAUCGAGUAGGGAUAUCGUUGUCUAAUGGAUGUCGUAGAUAAGUAUUUAGAAAACACAUUGAUAAAUAACGAUUAACAAAAAAUAAUUUUUAAUUAGAUUGUAAUUAUUCAUACUUUACUUCAUAACUCCUUGAUUUUUUUAAUUUGUGUGAAAAAUACUUAAAAUAUUAAUUUCAAUUACAAUUUCAUAAUGAAAUAGUGAUUGAAAUGCAGUAAUUGGUAGCAAAGAUUGAAUGGUGAUUGAAUAGGGAUGUUAUUACUAAUUAACAUGGUAGAUAAGUACUAAGGGAACAUUGAUGAAUAAUUGUGUGCCAAUAACAAUUUUCUAUACGGAAAAAAUGUGAAUAUAGAUACUUUUUUCUUUCUCUUUUUUUUAUCCAAUGAAUAUGGACCGAAUGAAAAGGCAAAUGGCCAAAAUGAAAACACCAGCAGAUUAGAGGAUUCCAGAUUCCUCUAAAAAUGGAUAUCGGGUGGGAUAUUAUUCAGUAUUUCAAGAAGGUUCACAUUCCUCUGAAGUCUCAUUUAGGCCCAUCUCCAAUUUGAAUUGUGUCAUUCCAUAUGGGGCCUGGCAGUUCAAAUUUCUAGGAGAUUGGGUAUCAAAUAACACAAAUUUGUUUGGAUUGUGCUUUUCGCGGAAAAAUUCUAACUUUUUAUAAAUAUAUUUUUCAAAUUAUCUUUUUAUUUCACAUGUAUCAAAUCAUUACAGUACAUUGAAUUAUAAGCACUUUGGCAUGGCAUUUGAACUUUGACAUAGAGCUCUCAAUGAAUUGAAUUUUCACGAACAGGUUCUUACUUGUAUAUAAUACUCUAAUUGAGCUUGAGUUCCGUUCAUAUAUCAUAUGAGCAAAAUUUGAACACUAAAUAUUUAGUUUGAUUCGACUCAUUAAAAGCUCUUUUCAUAUAUUAUAUGAACAAAAAUUUCAACAUUAAGUAUUUAGGUUGAUUCGACUCAUUCAAAACUCUAUUUUGACAUAUUGAAGUUGUGUUGCACUAUCACGUGAACAUUCAACUUGCCAAUUAUGCAGAUGCUCAUCAUAAGUUUUCAACCUGUGUUAGAAAAUUGGGAACUUCUAAGUAGUGGCUGGCAAUGCAAGCAGUCUCAAAUACUGCCAGAAAGGCAAUUCCUGUGUUGAUCUGCUUAAAAAGAUGAGUUUGUCUCUAUUAUCAACAAAUUUUAUGAAUGUUUCCUUGAUGAGUUUGUCCAGCUUAUAAACAGAGAAAGACUUUAGAAGCUUUGCACCGCACCACCACAGCCCCAAGAAAUGAUAGCUUAUUAGGAAAAUCUUUUUUUGUUUUGUGUUAUAUUGAGUAAUCUCUUGUAUUGUCACUUUCUUGUUUUGGGGCUUUAGAAAUUUUGUUCUACAUUUUAUUUUUGUCUUCAUUAUAAUAGAUUUUGCUCAUCUUUCUGGUGGAUGUAGAUCUAAUUGAUUGAACUACGAAAAAAAUCCACAAUACAAAAUAUGCAAGAACAUUAGGUUGGUACAUUUUCACACCAAAACCUAAAUCAAAUGCACCAACCAGAUGUAACCGUUUCACUGAAAAUUAUAUAGACCUGUCCAAAUCUCUAAUUUGGAAUAGUCGAUAGUCUUUAUUUCACUGAUUGAUCUUGUUUAACCUUCUUUCAUUUUUCUCUUUUGUUGGUCCUUCUUCUACAGAACAGGAGACUGGUGGAGCGUAGAUACUUAGAUCAUCUGUCAACUCGUGCGAGCUCAUAAAAUCAAUACUGAUGAAUCUAGUAAUCCUGUGAUAUCUGUAUGUUGGAUCAGAUACAAGAGAUACUUGUAGGAAGCACCCUUUCAUUAGAUUAUUCUAUCUCUGAGCAUAUUAUUUGCCUUCACUAUGCCCUGUUGGUGUUUUCUUCAAUUUCAUGAUGAGCAAUUAACAGAUAUGUUAGCUAAGAAAACAAAAAAAAAAAAAGAAAAAAGAAAAAUUGAUGCUUUAUUGAACCUUCUAAUUGCAACGUUCUUCUUAAUCCAAGGCAUGCAAGUCCAAAUACAGAUGUAGUUUAAAAUGAAUAGGACUAACAUAGACCAAAAUGAAAGAUGAUAAGCAGCAAAGGAGGGAAGAAUGGUGAUUGAAUUAUUUUGAGUAUCAAAGCCAUUUCAGCCAAUUCUUUUCCUUUCAGGCCACAGGAGAAACAUUUUUUGCAGCUCAUCCCUUGUAAUGAAGAGCCUCAUUGAUGAACUUGUUGAAAUUAAUGUAAGAUAAUCCCCUUACCUCAGUUGCUUCAGCUUUCUUCUUCUAUUCUUUAGCUUUGAACCUCAUUUUUCCCCUUCCUCUCCCACAAUCAUUUUGCGUACAAGUUCUGCAACUUCAUCGUACUUCACGUCAUGAUUUAUUUCCAUUCCAAUUCCCCAUUUCUCACAAGAGUAAUGACAAUUAGUUUGCUAAUCAACAAAGAAAGGCCAGCAGAUGACAGGCACACCAGCACAAAUAGUUUCCAUCAUAGAAUUCCAUCCACAGUGAGUAAAAAAUACGCCAAUAGCUGAAUGCUCCAACACUUUCUCCUAUGCACACCAGCUUGUUAAGAACCCUCUAUCCUGAAUCUCUUCCAGGAAAUCUUCAGGCAACAUUACUGAUUAUCCUCCCUGCACUACAUUAGGCCGAACAAUCCAUAAGAACUGUUGCCUGCUGGUAGCAAGUCCCCAAGCAAAUUCUCUGAAAUGAUGGUUAGUCAUGGUUGUUACACUUCCAUAAUUAACAUAAACAACUGAGUUUGGUGCUCUUCGAUCCAGCCACUCGAAAACUUUCAAGUCAGGCUUCCAUAAACUUGAAUUUAGGGAAUUGACUUGGCUUUUGGAAACAAUGUGCCUGGCUAAUAACUGUAGAGGGCCUAUAGUAUAAAUAUUUGGGAAAUUGAACUUCGAAAUGACUGCCUCCAAUGCUUCUGUUUCAAAUUCAUCGAAGGCAUUGAAGAUUAUUGAUGAAGCUUUGAGACAACUCUGUGCUUCCUCUCCCAUGAAAUCAAACAUGAUGUCAUUGGAUCGGUUGCUCUUAAAAAGCUUCGAAGGUCCCUGAAUUUUACAUUGCUCAUUGAUAGGGUACAAUUUGUUAGUAAUUUUAUUAUUAAUUUUCCCUUUUAUCCCUGACAAAUAUUGUGUUAAUUGCUGAUAUUUACUCAUAUUUGGUAUGUGGACUUAAUUUCAGGAAUAAAGCAGAAAACUACCAAAAGGAGGGACUUUAUGGAAAAUAUGGAGACUUCUAAGGGCUUCAAUGCUUGGGUCCUUGAAUUGGUGGGGACCACAAGCUAGUGGAAGGCAUCUAGUCAUUUGGACUCUAAAAAGAAAGCUACGGAAGGAGACUUGGGGCAAGAAGUACUUUGAAGGCUUUGUCCACAUGUGUGGGGACCACGUAGAGAGCCUUUAGUUAUCUUUCUUUUGUGGCUUAAAUAGGGAUAACGUAGAGUAGCAGAGGAUAUCUCUGUUUUAGUCUUUUAGUGUAGCUUUACUUUUUCCUUCUUUUGACUGGCCUCUGGCACACGCCAGGUGUUCGACAAAAUUCCCCAACGGGAAAAACACCUUUUAUUCCUUGCUUCUUAAUAGAAAACGCUAUGCCUUUGCAAUCCAUUAAUUCGUGUGGUGAUUUAAUUAUGCGGCGUGGCUAAGUCUUCCAUCUAGUCAAGGGUCAACUCGACGGCGCAGUCCCGAAAACCUGUGAGAUCUAAUUAGUUUUCACGCGUUCCUUAAUUUAUUAAUAUUUGCACGUUGCCUGCUUGUAUUUUCAUGGGAUUAUUUUAUUAAUUGGAUGUCAAGGGCCCGAUGUUCAAUGUGAUUUAUUAGUCUCGUGCCAAUUUAGUCAAUUAAAUCCGUAAUUGUUUGAUUGAUUAAUAUUAGUGGCAACUGGUGUGUUUACACAUUAGGGGAACGUGCAAUCUAAUUUAAAUAACCCUCGUAGCGUGUUAUUGGUUAGGGCUAGGUUUUUCUAAUAUUAAUGCAAUUGGGAAAUUAAUUCCUACGGUCGUACCUAGGAGUAUUUUCUGGUUAGGGGUGAUCAAUGGUCGUACCUUGGUUAUCAAUAAUUUAAGGAAAAAUUGGUCGUCAGACUAUAACUAGCCUAUUAAUAAAUUAAGUGAACCUCUCCUGCAUCAAUGAUCGGAUAAAUGGACUGUGCCUGAGUAGUUGCAUCCUUGGCUAGAAUUUAUUUAUUCUUGAUUUAAUUCCUGCUAUAUUGUGCUAGUUAUUUAUUUUUUUAGUUAAAUUGUUUAAUUAUUUUUAGUUUCAUUCCGGUGAAAUCCCCCCUUAUCAAUUGGACUUUAAAAAGAGACAGAUAUCUCCAGUCCCUGAGGAGACGACUUUACUUGCCACUGCCUACUAUUUUUGCCAACUAAUUAAUUCUGGUAUAUCGGAUUCAGCAAACUCUUCGGGAACAGGGUGAAUCAAGUAACCCAUUGCACACCUAGAGUCCCUGCUCCAGUACCUAGGAUUAAUUAUUGACAGCUCUUAGUGGUAGCUAGGUUCUAUAUUAUUAUUAUUAUUAUUGCACAGGUUGACGACCUGUCAAUUUUUGGCGCCGUUGCCGGGGACUGGCGUUAUUAUUUGUUUCUUUUUAAAUUUCAUUUUUGCUCUAAUUUUCUGGUAUUUUUCUAGUGUAUGCCUAGGUCUUCUCGUGCAGGUGAAUUGAUUUUUGACCCUGAAGUAGAGAAAACCGCGCGUAGAACAAGGAAAGAAACCAGACAGCUCAGAGAGGAGCACUCCAGGGCUACAUCUCAGAGACCUGAGCCCGAAGUUGAACCAGCAGAUUCGUUUGGUGACACUUCAAGUGAUUUUUGCCAAGAGAGCGUCGACAUGGCAUGGCAAACACACAAACAUUAAGGGAGUUGGCUGCUCCAAACUUGACCCAACAACCUCUUUGCAUAACUUUUCCUCGCCUUAGUGAGAAUGCAGCUUUUGAAUUAAAACCUGGUUUAAUACAUUUGUUGCCUGUUUUUCAUGGUCUGCCAGGAGAGGAACCCCACAAACACAUGCAGGAAUUUGAUGUGGUGUGUUCGAGUAUGAAACCUUCGGGAGUAACUGAUGAACAAAUUAAAUUAAGGGCCUUCCCUUUCUCUCUCAAGGAUUCGGCAAAGGACUGGUUAUACUGUCUACCUGCAGGCAUUAUCACCACGUGGCCAGAGAUGCAGAAAAAAUUUUUUGAAAAAUAUUUCCCUGCAUCCAGAGCUGCUAGUUUGCGAAAGGAAAUAUGUGGAAUCAAGCAAUUUCACGGGGAAUCCUUGUAUGAAUAUUGGGAGAGGUUCACCAGGCUGCGUACCCGAUGCCCGCAUCACCAAAUAAGUGAUCAACUGCUGAUUCAGUAUUCUACGAGGGGCUACUGAUGAACGAUAGAAAUAUCAUUGAUGCAGCAAGUGGUGGUGCACUGGUGAAUAAGACUACCCAGGAGGCAUGGGACUUAAUUGAGCGAAUGGCAGAGAAUUGCCAGCAGUUUGGUACGAGAGCAGAUGUUCCUACGAGAAAGGUCAACGAGGUAAGUUCAUCUUCCAUUGAACAGCAGUUAUCUGAAUUAACCUCAUUUGUUCGACAGAUAGCUGUAGGAAAUGCACAGCAGGCCAAAGUGUGUGGGAUUUGCACGAAUAUUGGUCAUACCACUGACUCGUGCCCACAGUUACAUGAAGAGGGAAUUGAGCAAGCAAAUAUGGCUGGUAACAUGCCCAUGCCACGUAGACAGUAUGACCCCUAUUCCAACUCAUACAAUCCGGGUUGGAGGGAUCAUCCAAAUCUAAGCUAUGGGGGAAAUAAGCAACAAAAUUUCAUCCCCAAUAGACAGCAGGGCUUCCAGCAACAAUAUCAAACAAGGAAUCAACCCUCCUCUACCUCAGGUAUGUCCCUAGAAGACAUGGUUAAAACCAUAGCCUCUAAUACUAUGAAAUUUCAACAGGACACUGAGGCCAACAAUCAAGAGAUGAAAGCACGUAUGCAAAACUUGGAAAAUCAGAUGAGUCAAUUAGCCUCAAUUGUCAACCGACUAGACUCCCAGGGGAAGGGAAAACUCCCAUCCCAACCUGAGGUGAAUCCCAAGAAUGUAAGUGCAAUGACCCUCAGGAGUGGGAAAGAGGUUGAAGGUCCAGCCCCAGUGGCUCCGAAGGACAAGAAUGAGGACCGUAUUGAGAAGGAGCUUGAGGAAGAAGGAACUCCUGGCACAAAUGAAGAGGUAAUACGUAACCCAGUGGGUCCAGUUAAGCCUAACCCACCACCUUUUCCUAGCAGGUUGGAAAGGCCUAAAAAGCAAGACAAGGAAAAGGAAAUUUUGGAGAUGUUUAGGAAGGUGGAGAUAAAUAUCCCCUUACUUGACGCAAUUAAGCAAGUACCCCGGUAUGCCAAAUUUUUGAAGGACCUAUGCAUCAAUAGGAAGAAAUUGAGGGGAGAUGAAAGGAUAAUUGUGGGAGAGAACGUAUCUGCAGUGCUUCAAAGAAAACUUCCACCAAGUGCGGAGACCCGGUAUGUUCACUAUUCCUUGUAAAAUAGGGAACACUAGCAUUAGGAAUGCCAUGUUAGAUUUAGGAGCCUCUAUAAAUGUGAUGCCCAGGCUAUAUAUGCUUCUCUGAAUUUGGGCCCUUAAAGGAAACUGGCAUUAUAAUUCAAUUGGCUGAUAGGACUAAUGCUUAUCCUGAUGGGGUGAUAGAAGAUGUGUUAGUACAAGUGAACAAUUUAGUGUUCCCUGCUGAUUUUUAUAUUCUUGAUAUGGGUGAUGAACGUUCUCCAAAUCCAUCACCAAUUUUGUUGGGGAGGCCCUUCUUGAGCACGGCUCGUACAAAAAUUGAUGUUAGUAAGGGCACCCUAACGAUGGAAUUUGAUGGAGAAAUAGUUCAUUUCAGUAUAUUUGAGGCCAUGAAAUAUCCGUGUCAUUCUAAUGCUGUUUUUGCUGUGAGUAUAAUUGACCCUUUGGUGCAAGAAGUAUUUGAGAUUAAUGGCAGGGAUGAAUUGGAGGUAGCAAUCACCAAACAUUUGGAUCUGGAAGUGGCCUGCGAAAUGGAGUUAGACAUCAAUUUGCAAAGAAUGGUUGGAGCCUUGCAUUCACUAGGCCAAAGUCCUCUAAGGUAUGAUGUUGCUCCUAUAUUUGUGCCUGAACCACACCUAAAGCUGUUACCUUCUAUCGUGCAGGCACCUGAAGUGGAGUUGAAACCCCUGCCCGAGCAUUUAAAGUAUGCCUUUCUAGGUGAAAAAGAGACGUUACCAGUGAUAAUCUCAUCCAAAUUAUCACCCACGGAGGAGGACAAGCUGCUGCGGGUUUUAAGGGAGCAUAAGGAAGCUAUAGGGUGGACAAUUGCAGACAUCAAGGGUAUAAGCCCGUCUGUGUGCAUGCAUCGAAUUCGCCUGGAAGAGGAUGCUAGGCCGAUAAGACAACCACAAAGGAGAUUGAACCCCAUCAUGAUGGAAGUGGUCAAAAAAGAGGUAAUCAAGCUUCUGGACGUAGGAAUUAUUUUCUCUAUCUCAGACAGCCCAUGGGUAAGUCCGGUCCAAGUGGUGCCAAAGAAAGCAGGGGUAACUGCGGAAGAAAAUCAUGAAGGGGACCUUGUUCCAAUUCGAAAGCCUACGGGUUGGCGCCAGUGCAUCGAUUACCGUAAAUUGAACGCAGUGACCAAGAAGGAUCAUUUUCCCCUUCCAUUCAUUGAUCAAAUGGUUGAAAGGUUAGCUCUGUCGUGCCUAUUAUUGUUUUUUAGAUGGUUUCUCUGGUUAUUUUCAGAUAGCAAUUGCGCCAGAGGAUCAAGAGAAAACAACUUUCACUUGCCCCUUUGGCACUUUUGCCUAUCGAAGGAUGCCUUUUGGAUUGUGUAAUGCCCCUGCAACAUUCCAGAGGUGCAUGAUUAGCAUUUUUUCUGAAUAUGUAGAGAGAAUAAUUGAGGUAUUCAUGGAUGACUUCAGUGUCUAUGGUGAUAGUUUGACGAUUGCUUAGAUAACUGACAUUGAUUUUAAAAAGAUGCAUUGAGACUAACCUGGUGCUAAUUGGGAAAAAUGUCACUUCAUGGUUGAGCACGGGAUAGUUCUAGGACAUGUAGUGUCAUCUAGAGGAAUUGAAGUUGAUAAAGCUAAAAUAGAUGUGAUAUCUGCUUUACCUUACCCCGUAACUGUACGGGAAGUUCGUUCUUUUCUAGGACAUGCAGGUUUCUAUCGCAGAUUUAUCAAGGAUUUCUCAAAGAUCGGGGCACCACUUUUCAGGCUUUUACAAAAGGAUGUCAGUUUUGAAUUCGACGAGAAAUGCGAAGAAGCGUUCGAGAAGUUGAAAAAAUUACUCACUUCUCCACCUGUCAUCCAACCCCCUGACUGGAAUCUCCCAUUUGAAAUCAUGUGUGACGCCAGCGAUUACGCAGUGGGUGCGGUACUAGGUCAAAGAGUGGGAAAGGCAGCCCACGCUAUAUACUACGCAUCUCGAGCCUUGAACGGAGCCCAAUUGAACUAUUCGACCACCGAGAAAGAGCUCCUAGCUGUAGUUUUUGCUUUAGAAAAAUUUCGUUCCUAUUUACUUGGUGCUAAAGUUAUUAUUUUCUCUGAUCAUGCAGCCCUGCGGUAUCUGUUGACCAAGAAAGAGGCAAAACCGCGACUGAUAAGGUGGAUAUUGUUGCUACAGGAGUUUGACUUGGAGAUCAGAGAUAAGAAAGGGGCAGAGAAUUUGGUAGCAGAUCACUUGAGUCGGGUACAAGUCACCAAGGACGAUAUCCCGUUGAGAGAAACUUCCCUGACGAGCACUUAUUUUCUGCUAAUUUAACUUUGCCCUGGUAUGCAGAUAUUGUUAAUUUUCUAGUUACUGACAAGUUUCCUGCAGGAUGGCCUAAGGCAAAAAGGGAUAAGUUAAGGAGUGACGCAAAAUCUUACAUCUGGGAUGACCUUACCUCUGGAAACGUGGUGCCGACCAAAUCAUUCGCAGAUGUGUAGUGAAAAUGAAUUCCAGUCUUUUAGCUUAUUGUCACUCUUUUGCAUGUGGAGGUCACUUUGGACCAAAGAGACUGCUCGUAAGGUUCUAGAGAGUGGAUUUUAUUGGCCAACCCUCUUUAAGGAUGCCUAUUUAUUUUGUAAGUCAUGUGAUAAGUGUCAACGAGUAGGUAGUAUUUCUCGAAGGGAUCAAAUGACCCAAACCCCAAUGAUUUUUGUUGAGAUUUUUGAUGUUUGGGGUAUUGAUUUUAUGGGCCCUUUUCCUUCAUCUUUCGGUUUUUUGUAUAUAUUGCUUGCCGUAGAUUAUGUCUCAAAGUGGGUGGAAGCAAAAGCCACCCGCACUAAUGAUUCUAAGGUGGUUGCAGAAUUCAUUAAAUCUAAUAUCUUUGUCCGUUUUGGGAUGCCACGAGCAAUUGUAAGUGAUCGGGGUACCCAUUUCUGCAACAAGACGAUUGCUGCACUUUUUAGGAGGUACGGUGUCUUGCACAAAGUCUCCACGUCUUACCAUCCGCAGACAAACGGUCAGGCGGAAGCAUCGAACCGGAGAUCAAGUCGAUUUUGGAAAAAAUGGUUCGACCUGACAGGAAGGACUGGAGUGUGAGACUUGAAGAUGCCUUGUGGGCAUAUAGAACGGCGUACAAGACACCGAUCGGCAUGUCCCCUUACCGUUUGGUAUUUGGGAAGCCAUGCCACCUCCCUGUCGAAUUCGAGCAUAGAGCAUUUUGGGCGGUCAAGCAAUGCAACAUGGAUAUCGAAGAGGGCGGAAUUCAAAGGAAGCUACAGUUACAAGAAUUGGAGGAGAUUCGCAAUGAAGCCUACGAGAAUGCUGUGAUGUAUAAGGAGAAAAACAAGAUUUUUCAUGACCAGCAGGUCUCUAGGAAGACGUUUGAAUGUGGACAAAAAGUUCUACUGUAUCACUCGAAGUUGAAGUUAUUUCCAGGUAAGUUACGUUCUCGUUGGAUUGGUCCCUUUGUUGUAACUAAUGUCUUUGAUUAUGGUGCAGUGGAGAUCCAGAGUCUGAAGACGGAGAAGAAAUUUGUGGUGAAUGGUCAUCGUCUCAAGCCGUAUUAUGAUGAGGUUCCAGUUGAGCGGGUAGAGAUGAUGCAUUUGGAGGACCCAAUUUGCUUGGUUUAAGCAAAUUAUGGGCUAUGUCUAGCCAAAGACACUAAAGAAAGGCGCUUUUUCGGGAGGCAACCUGAAUAUUGAUUUUAUUGUUUUUAGUUGUUCAUUUCUUUCAUUUUGUCGUUUCCUCGUUGGGUAGUAGCAGUAUUAAUAUUUCCUUCACUGAAAUCAGGAAGACAAUCUUGGCGUGCCCACGCGGUGUUGGUGUAUCCUGAGAUCAGAGGACGAAUACCAAUCUGGCGUGCCCACGCGGUGUUGGUGUCUCCUGAGAUCAGAGGACGAAGAGCAAUCUUGGCGUGCCCACGCGUGUGUUGUGUCUCCUGAGGUCAGUGGAUGUUUUGUAAUCUUGGCAUGCCCACGCGGUGAUUGACGACCCAAAACAUGGAUUAAAAAAAAAAAAAAAUUUUAUUAUAUUAUUAUUAUGAUUAUUAUUAUUAAUCCAAAAAAAAAAAAAAAAAACAUUAAACAUUUUCAAGAAAUUUUCUUUUAAAACCUUAGGCUUUUUUUCUUUUCAAAAUUCAGAAUUUUGAAAUAUAAAUUCGGAAUAAUGAAGAAACAGGGUUUUGAGAAAUUUAUAUUUAAAAAAAAAAAAAAAAAAAAACUCUUUUUCUUCUUUCCUUCUCUUUCUUUUCUUCUUUUCUUCUUCUUUCUUUCUUUCUUUCUUUCUUCUUUGCCCCGCGGCCCUACUUCCCUUUCCCUUCUUUUUUUUUUUUUUCCCCGCUUCCUCUCUGUUUUCUCUCCUUUCUUCUUUCUUUCGCUUCCGGUCGCGGCCAAGCUCGCGCCGCGCGCCUGUCCCCCGCCAGAUCUGCUCUCUCACCACCACCACUGCAAGCCGCGAGCCACGACGGCACUUCCCUCACACGCGACUGCGUCGCAGCGCCACGGACAGCCGCCGCUGCCCGCUGCUAUUUCCACCACCACGCGCAGCUUCACCCACGCAGGCUGCCGUCGACGCCGCCGCCACCUCGGGCGACCCUCCUCCGCCUACACCAGCCGCGCCUUCCACCCCCUCCAGCUCCAGCUCCUGCAGGCCCACCUCGCUGCGCACGGUUUCUCUCUGCCCAGUUCCACUUCGCCGCCACAGUCGGCACGGCUGCUCAAACCCUCCAGUCCACCGCCAGUCCUCCAGAAGCUUCCUCCUCGCGCGGGUAGACCAGGCGCUACUUCUGUGAAUUCGUCCUCUAUUUUUCUCUUUCCUAUUUUUUAAUCACUGAGUAGCUGAGGCCAAGAGCACUAGUUUUUUCAUUAGCUGAUGCCAGAUUUUUGAUUUGCUAGUUGAGAACGAAACUUGUGGGCUUAUUUGGGUGCUGUGGUAUAUCUGUGGUUGGUUGUUGAUUAUUUGGUAAAUUUUGUUCUCAUCGAUGGUAUUUGGGGAGAAUCUUUACUCGAUUUGACUGUUUAUUUAGUUUUUGAGGGGGGUUUUCUGCUCUGUUUAUUUGCUUAAUUAUUUCUUGGGGGAACUGUUUGGACAAGUUUGAGUUUAAUUGCUGCCAAGUGGGGAUAUUUUCUACUAUUUGUUGAACAGCUAGCCCAGUUGCUUUAAUUUUUCCCUGUGCCUCACCAGUGGUACUGGUUGAGCACUUUAGCCUAUCAUUGUUGCUGUUUUGGGAGAUACUGGCUUACGUUCAGGUUUCAUUUCUGGGGAUUGGGUCUCAUUUGCUGAAUUUUGUGUCCAAUUGUGGGUGAAUUGCUGCGAUUAUUUGCUUAUUGGGGGCGCCCGUGACGCUUAUACUUGCUUAUUGGGGGGCGCCCGUGACGCUUAUACUUGUUUAUUGGGGGCGCCCGUGACGCUUAUAUUUGCUACUUGGUUGUUUGGGUUUGCCUGUUGACCACCAUGGUGAAGCCUCGAUCUUCUUCUAAGACUAGGACCCCUAGGACUCCUAAGCCCCCUCCACCUCAGCAUUCCAUUCCCGCCUCUGACCCCUCGCACGACCCUUCCUCCUCUGGGAGGCGGGCUCGUCUUGGGCGACAAAGAGGCGUCCAUAUCUCUGACCCUGCACAUUUUGGGGGUCAUUUGGUUUUCACCAGGGCGGCCGACAAGCGGCGCUAUGAAGCGGCUUGUGAACGACGGAUUAUUCCUUGUCGUUAUCGGGACCUCGCCACCUUGGGCCUUCUUAAUAUUAGCGUCCCCUUUCACGAUUUGAUUGAAGCCAUCGGGUGGCGCCCCUAUUCUCGUAUCACUGACCUCCCGGCUUUUGUCGAGUUGGUUAGGGAGUUUUACGCCACGUUUGAGUUUGACCUUCCCACUAACUACACAGUUUCUACCCCUGAUGUCAUCCGCUUCCGUUUAAUGGGCCAGGAAUUCCACCAUUCCAUAACCGACUUCAAUCUGGCCUUUGGUUUCAUUGAUCCUGCUUAUGCUGAGUCUAGGGAGUAUGCCGAGAGUGCGUGUGACUAUGUCCAGCCGUUUUUCUCCCGCUAUCGCUUUCUUUGGGAUGAUAUGUCUGUAGACAGGGAUAACUAUGACCCUCGUCUAUCCAAGGGGUCCUAUCUGAAGGACCCGGCCUCUCGCUAUAUCCACCGUUUUUUGGCUUACAGUUUCUCUGGUAGGCGAGAUAGUUCGGGCAUUCUGUCUAAGCCCGAAUUUUUCUUUAUAUGGUGCAUGCAAAACAAUAUUAAGGUUAAUCUUGGGUGUUGGCUCGCGUCUCAGUUCAAGUCCAUUUUGCCUAAAAAGAAGCGGCCCUUGAUUCUUGGGUCUUACAUUACUCACUUGGCUAUUAAUUUGCAUGUCCUUGAUAUUUCUAACCAUAACUUGCAUAUAGCCUGUCAAAUGGAGCCUUUGGAUAUUCCAAGCUUAGAGAAAAUGGGCUUAGUUCGAGAGGGCGACAAUGGUUGGGAGGUUGUUCCCCCGGGACCGCUACACCCUCCCCUCGUUCAUCCUUUGCCAGUGCCUCCACGGCAGGCGGUGAUCCCGGUCCAUCUUCCUCCGUUCCCCUCCAUUCCGCCCAUACGGAUGAGGAAUGGAACCAGCUCCGCAACACAGUCGAGCGGCUUGAGAUUCGGCAGAAACACAUGGACGUUAACAUUUACAAUAUGGCGCAGAAUCUAGCGGCUUUUAUGCAGCAAGCCGGGUUCCCUCCUCAGUUUCCGCCUAACCCACCCUUGUCUUGACGCCUUCAGGGAAGUACCGUUGCCCCUCCCCUUUUUCUGAUAUUAUCUUUUCACAUUGAGGGCAAUGCGUCAUUUAGGUGUGGGGGGUCAGUUUGGGUGCUAGUUCUCGUUUCUUUAUUAUUAUUAUUAUUUUUUUUUUAUCUUGUUUUCUGCUUAGGUGUUGCUCCUUUAUCUCUUUUGAGUGUCUUUCCCUUACUUCUAUCUUGGUGAAUAUUUUUGGCAGCGCACUUUUUCUUGUUAGUUGUGGUUUGUACUAUGAGUUGAGUUACAGUGGCAAGUAAAAGCAUGCCUUCUUGGUGAAUACUUUGAGUCUAACGACGUGUGGUGCAAUUUAUGGCUAACUUGUUUAGGCAGUAUAAAUAUUUUGCUGGCACUGUUGUGUAGUUUGGUCUCCUGUUUACCUUAGUUCUCCAUAUUUGGGACAUGACGCAGGCUAUGAUCUGUAAUUAUUUGGUAUCUUGGUGUUUUCUGGUGAAUAAUGUAUGGCUAUACUCCGCUGGUGUCGCCACCUAGUAACCGGGAGUCUUCACCACAAGUGUCGGCUCUCGCGUCAAAAAGUGACGAUAUCUAUGAGUAAAUAGACCGGGAGCUACGAAAGGUCGAGUAACUGGGCUCUUUCAUCUAAAAAUGCCAGAGUUCACGUCAAAAGAUUUGAAUAGCUCGGGGCUAAGCAUCGGAAAAAGGAAAAAAGAAAAAAAGAGAAACAAAACAGAAAAGAAAAGGGAAAAAAAAAAAAGAAAAAAGAAAAUCAGAUGUGGAGAAUAUGUGAGUUUAUGACCAUAUUAGCCUGCCGAUCCUUGGUUCGUAUUGUUGAGAUUUUGGUUGCCAGUUGACUUAAUUACUAACUGUUGCUAGUUAUUAUUUGGAUUUCCUAAGCGAGUUAGCCAUGAAUUGGACAGGUCUAUGGACUUAAAAGCUAACCGUGAGAGAUAUGUCUUGACACUUAGUCACUAGACCUUGAUUUUGGGUAUAGGCACAGCUGGCUAUGAUAAUGUGAAAACUAGCCAUUGUUGAGUUAAAUUUUCCUCAUGCUUGGGGGCAAGCAUGAUUCAGGUGUGGGGGGAAUUGAUAGGGUACAAUUUGUUAGUAAUUUUAUUAUUAAUUUUCCCUUUUAUCCCUGACAAAUAUUGUGUUAAUUGCUGAUAUUUACUCAUAUUUGGUAUGUGGACUUAAUUUCAGGAAUAAAGCAGAAAACUACCAAAAGGAGGGACUUUAUGGAAAAUAUGGAGACUUCUAAGCGGGUUUCAAUGCUUGGGUCCUUGAAUUGGUGGGGACCACAAGCUAGUGGAAGGCAUCUAGUCAUUUGGACUCUAAAAAGAAAGCUACGGAAGGAGACUUGGGGCAAGAAGUACUUUGAAGGCUUUGUCCACAUGUGUGGGGACCACGUAGAGAGCCUUUAGUUAUCUUUCUUUUGUGGCUUAAAUAGGGAUAACGUAGAGUAGCAGAGGGAUAUCUCUAGUUUUAGUCUUUUAGUGUAGCUUUACUUUUUUCCUUCUUUUGACUGGCCUCUGGCACACGCCAGGUGUUCGACAAAAUUUCCCAAUGGGAAAAACACAUUUUAUUCCUUUGCUUCUUAAUAGAAAACGCUAUGCUUUUGCAAUCCAUUAAUUCGUGUGAUGAUUUAAUUAUGCGGCGUGGCUAAGUCUUCCAUCUAGUCAAGGUCAACUCGACGGCGCAGUCCCGAAAACCUGUGAGAUCUAAUUCGUUUUCACGCGUUCCUUAAUUUAUUAAUAUUUGCACGUUGCCUGCUUGUAUUUUCAUGGGAUUAUUUUAUUAAUUGGAUGUCAAGGGCCCGAUGUUCAAUGUGAUUUAUUAGUCUCGUGCCAAUUUAGUCAAUUAAAUCCGUAAUUGUUUGAUUGAUUAAUAUUAGUGGCAACUGGUGUGUUUACACAUUAGGGGAACGUGCGAUCUAAUUUAAAUAACCCUCGUAGCGUGUUAUUGGUUAGGGCUAGGUUUUUCUAAUAUUAAUGCAAUUGGGAAAUUAAUUCCUACGGUCGUACCUAGGAGUAUUUUCUGGUUAGGGGUGAUCAAUGGUCGUACCUUGGUUAUCAAUAAUUUAAGGAAAAAUUGGUCGUCAGACUAUAACUAGCCUAUUAAUAAAUUAAGUGAACCUCUCCUGUAUCAAUGAUCGGAUAAAUGGACUGUGCCUGAGUAGUUGCAUCCUUGGCUAGAAUUUAUUUAUUCUUGAUUUAAUUCCUGCUAUAUUCGUGCUAGUUAAUUAUUUAUUUUUAGUUGAAUUGUUUAAUUGUUUUUAGUUUCAUUCCGGUAAAACCCCCCUUAUCAAUUGGACUUUAAAAAGAGACAAUAUCUCCAGUCCCUGAGGAGACGACUUUACUUGCCACUGCCUACUAUUUUUGCCAACUAAUUAAUUCUGGUAUAUCGGAUUCAGCAAACUCUUCGGGAACAGGGUGAAUCAAGUAACCCAUUGCACACCUAGAGUCCCUGCUCCAGUACCUAGGAUUAAUUAUUGACAGCUCUUAGUGGUAGCUAGGUUCUAUAUUAUUAUUAUUAUUGCACAGGUUGACGACCUGUCACUCAUGCCACAAAUCCAAUCAACAAACUUAUCAAGAGUACCAUCUGUAAGGUAAUCGUCAUCUGGAUAGAAAAACGAAAAAUCAUUUUUCAAGAUUGAGGAACAAUUAUGAAGACUGUCAAGCAAUGAAAAUCAAAAUUCAAACAUUUGAACAACCAUCCUUAUCAAGUUUUAUUCCUUUCAGUAUCUGUGUUUCAGAAAAUUCAUAUAGGAUUAUCUACCAAAGUUGUUGACGCAUUAAUCAAAAUGGUAAAAGAAAGAAGAAAAAUUAGAAAGAUUGUGUUGAGAUAUACCAACUUUUCCUAUAGAUUUUAUCAGAUUGAGUUUGAUAUCAAAAUAAUUAAGUUAUUAGAAAAAUAAGGAUAUUUGUUAACAAAAAAUCAUGUGGUUUGUUAACAAAUAUUUUAACUAAGAUUUGCUAGUAGAAGAAGAUUAUAUUUUGUUAAAAUUUUUAAGAUAACUGUUAGUUAGAUAUUUUGCUAGUUUGUUUCAUGUAAUCACUACAAAUAGUGAGUUGAUAAAUGUAGAACACAAACUCAUUUUUCAUCUUUAAUACAAGUCUCUUAUAAGUUUUUUUUGCAACGCUAAGGUGUUGUUUCUUAGUUUAUAUUUCAAAAAACCAACAAAGUGGUAUCAAGAGCCCAAAUCUUAAGGGCCUCUUUCUUUGAGAGUGAGUGAAUCUAGUGAAAAUCUCUUUUUCACUAUAAAAUUAUACAUUUAAGCCUUCAACAUCAAAAUGCCAGGAAACAACUUCUUGUCGAAUCCUUCAAGUUUCACUGGUGACAACUACUAAAUUUGGGCUGUCAAAAUGAAGUUCUAUUUGGUGGCUAUGAUCUUUGGGAUAUGGUAGAGACAGAUCCUGUUUCUGAAUUGUCGGAAGAUUCAACUAUUACAGAGAUGAGAGCCCAGAGGAAUGCCGUUAAAAUGAGAUCAAAAGCCAUGACAUGCAUUCAUUUAGCAGUUUUCAAUGCAGUAUUUACAAAAAUUAUGGCUUGUGAAACUGCAAAGGAAGCUUGGGAUGCUCUCAAAGUGACUUUUUAAGGCAAUGACAGAAUAAGACAGAUGCAAGUUUUGAACCUUAGAGAAUUCGAACUGUUUAGGAUGAAAGACAAGAAAACAUUAAAGAGUAUUCUGACAGACUCUGAAAUGUUGUGAACAAAAUCAAGUUGAUUGGAGAACAACUUUCGGAUAGCAAAGUUGUAGAGAAAGUAUUGAUAAGUUUACCAGAAAGGUUUGAAACCAAGAUUUCCUCCCUUGAAAUUCAAGGGAUCUCUCUCGGAUGACCUUGUCAGAAUUGAUCAAUACUUUAGAGGCACAAGAACAAAGACGAACCAUAAGAACUGAAGAAAUCAUUGAAGGUGCUUUUCAAGCAACAAAUAAGGAUCAAAUUCGACAAGGUGGUAGAAAUGACCAAGAGAAAAAUAGCAAAGAUGAGAAGAAAAAUGGCAAAAAUCCUCCGUAUUCACACUGUAAGAAAACCUCACAUCUUCAAUAUAUUGUUGGUUUAAACCUGACAUUCAUGUAGGUUUUGUAAGCAAAUGGAACAUAUGGAGAGAGUUUGCAAAAAUAAAGGAAAAAGAAGACAUCAAUCUCAGAUGGUUGAUGAAAAAGAUGAGAAGCAACCUUUUGUGGCCACUUGUUUUGCAAACAAUAAUUUUAGUUCUGAAACUUGGCUAAUAGAUAGUGGUUGCACUCAUCACAUGGCAUAUGAAGAAUCUAUGUUUAGAAAACUUGAUAAAUCGCAAAUCUCCAAAGUCAAAAUUGGAAAUAGAGGUUAUAUUGAGGUGAAAGGCAGAGGUAGUGUUGCUAUUGAUUAUGGUUCAGGUAUCAAAAUUAUUUUUGAUGUUUUAUAUGUACCUGAAAUUAAUCAAAAUCUAUUAAGUGUUGGACAGUUAUUGGAGAAGAAUUAUUCUGUCAUUUUCAAAAACAGGACCUGUGUUAUACAUGAUCCAGUUGUGAAUGAGUUUUUCUCAGUGAAAAUGAGAGGCAAAAAUUUUGCUUUGAAUUUGUCAGAAAUUGACAAUACUAAGGUGUAGUAUUUUGAAUCAAAAAAUUCAGAUAUUGCUAAAAUUCAGGAGAAGAUCACUGAUGAGGCAAUUGAAGGAGUUUAUGUUGUGAAAAUUCAUGAAAAGCUACCCAAAGAUGAUGGUGGUGACAAAACUGAUAAAAAACCAUACAAAAAUUUGAAGGAUUGCUUUAUGUCUCUGAUAGCAAUUAUUUUUUGUAUUGCAAAUUUCUUCUUCAGGUUCAUCUAUUACAUAUGGGAGUUCCACUUUCAAGUUGCAAAGAAAUCAUUUGAAUACAUCAAAAAAUUUGGUAUUGAUUUUGAAGUUUGGCUCAAGAAACAUUGCAAGACUGAUUACCAGAUUGCAGACAUUUUUAUGAAAGUAUUGUCCAAAACAAGGUUCAAAAAUUUAAGAAGACAAUUGAAAAUCUACAGCAAAAAUGGCAAGGAGGAGUGUUGAGAUAUGCCAACUUUUCCUACAGAUUUUAUCAGAUUGAAUUUGACAUCAAAAUAAUUUAGUUAUUAGAAAAAUAAGAAUAUUUGUUAACAAAAGAUCAUGUUGAUUUGUUAACAAAUAUUUUAGUUAAGAUUUGCCAGUAGAAGAAGAUUAUAUUUUGUUGAAAUUUUUAGAAUAAUUGUUAGUUGGAUAUUUUAUUAGUUUGUUUCAUAUAAUCACUAUAAAUAGUGAGUUGAUGAAUGUAGAACACAGGCUCAUUUUCCAUCAUUAAUACAAGUUUCUUAUAAGUUUUUUUUGCAAUACUAAGGUGUUGUUUUUUAGUUCAUGCCCCAAAAAACCAACAGACUGCUUCUGUUAUUUAUGACAGCUAAUAUGUAUCAUUAGUUUUGCUAUCAACAACUUAUCACUGCACAUGUAUACUUACUAAUGUGGUAGCCCAUCUCAGUAGAUCUAAUUGAAGGAGUUACUUAACAUAUUGCAAUCCUAUCUUUCUUUUUGUGAUAAUUUCAUGAACCUUCUUUAAGGUUUUUCGUAAUAUCACUUAGCAUUAGUGGUGGAGUCAAGUCUUAUAAUCAUUGGGGCCCGUACUGUAUUUCUAAAUUGAUAUUAUUGUUAUGUUAAAAAAAGUAGUUUACAUUAAGAUUGUAUUUUAUCUUGAAUUUUCAAGUUUUAAGCUUCUAACAUUAUUUCUUUUCCAUAUCCUAUUCAAUUUUGUAUGUUAAUAGCUUCCAAACAAUUUCACCAAUGGAGAGAUGUCUAGAAGAAAAUACUAAUAUUUUGGGGCCGGGGAGGGAAGGGGAGGGAGGGUAAUGUUUGGGGAGAUUGGGAUUUUUCAACAUAUAAGGGGCAAUGUAAAUCAAAAUUGUAUUUUCCAAAAUGUAGGGGUUACAAUUAUAAGAAAAAACUAAAAAACUUUCAAAUCUUUGAAGCCCAUUCUUCAUUACAGGAUGGCUCUAUCAUUCCUUAUCAUCCAUGAGAUUUUAAAAAUAUUCCUUACCUCGUCAGUUUGAACUGUCUAGAUAUUUCAUUAAAUGCCAUCAACUGACAACAUUACCCUUGCACUAUUAAUAACUAUUAUUUUACCAAAAAAAAUCCAAAAGGAAGAAAAAACUUUUAAAUAAAAAAUUAUGGACAAAAGAUAACCAAAUUGUCAUUCCAAAUUGGUUUGUAUUUCUCUGUGUCUCCAACUGGUACUUGAGCUUAGUCUAUAGUUGGUCACUUGAAUAAUUUUAGUAAAUAAUUAACACCUUGGAGAAUUUUAUCAGUCGAAUUUGUAAAGGCAGGCAAAUUUUUUUACAAAGUGCAUUCUAAUAAAUGAUGUUAUGGAAGUUGCAUUUAAAAUUAUAUUAAUAUUUUCAUACGUGUGGUAUGCAUGCAACCUCCACUUAUAAAAAAAGUUAUUGAAAAUAUUAGUUUAAGAAUUAUUUUGUAACCAAAAUUUUUUUAGCUUUACUAUUACCCUUAUUUAUCCUAUUUAUGAAGCUUACAAUAAAUAAAAAUUAAAAUAAGGCUAAAAGGUAAAUGUAAAAAUAUGAGAGGUUGCAUGUAAGAAACUUGAGUUAGAUGGAAUUCCUUGCUCCCACGCGUUUGCAGUUAUGAAAGCGGAAGAUAUGGACGAGAUUCCUAAAUCAUGCAUUCUGUUUAGAUGGACUCAGCAAGCAAAGCCAGCAAAAAAAAAAAUUCUAUUCAACUUGAAGAUUCAGCAAUUCAAACAGCUCAAUUUGGUGUUUAUAUGCAUUAAGUAAUCAAAUGUUUUUAUGCAGUUAAGACACAACAAGGAUAUGAUGAAGCUAGAGAUUGCAUUAUAAAUUAGCAUCUCGUUUCAAAAAUCUUUGGGUGAAUGACACGCCUCUAGUGCAUAAAGCUAAAUGAAAGGACAAUAUGAUGGAUGAGUCCACAAAGAGGAGUGAUUUUGAUGUUCCUGAUCCAAUUCUGUAACAAAGUUCAUAAAGCAAAAGUCCUACUUAUUUGUAUCUUUCUUGUAACAUUAUUUUUUCUUGCAAUUUUCUAUUUUAGUUAUCCAUCUGACACUAGUACGGGCAUAGAUACGGAUUAAGCAACUAGUUUGAGGAGUAAUAUUUUUUAUCAUAAAAUUAAUUUGAAUUGAAUUAACAAGUUGAUAUUUUCAAAAAAAAAGUGUAAUUUUUUGGGACUUAGAUUGUCAUUUUUGAAAAAAUUUUAAAAAACUAUAUUUUGGCAAUUGUUGUCUUUGACACUUAAUUGUCUAGACCAACUUUUAUCAGUUAUCCGCAUACAAUUAGUGUCAUUAAGAAUAAUUGAAGUUCUGAUAGCAAUACUCUAUUCAAAUGUAAAUAUCAACCCAAGUGACAAAAUAAAUGAUAACUAAACAAAUGAAAUAUGAGCUCAAUUAAUCGUGUUCAGACUACAAAUUCGGUUAAUGGAUAAUUAGUAUAUACUAAAUUGUAUUUCCAUUUGUAGAAAAAUAAUAUGCAUUUUAUAUCUACUAACGAAUAAAUUACUGAUGUUUUAAAUAAAUCAAACCUAAACUCAUGGUAUGAUAUGUAUGCAGUUGCUCACAUUUAUAUUUAUGCCAUCAUUCUUUCUUUCCAUUUUCUUUUUAAUAGUGCAAAUUUCUUUUAAUUAUAUUGGUAAAAAAAUAAAAUACUUUACUAAUUAUUCCAAUUUAUGUAGCAAGUGUUAGUAAUUUCAUUAGAAAUUAUGCUAUGUAAAAAUGGUUUAAUAAUUUUUUACUAAACAUAAAUACUGCAUACAAAAGAAAAAGAUAUUUGAUUUUGUUUUACUUUGAUUAGAAAAACUUGUGAUAGUAAUAACGAAAUGGUGACAGUGGUGCAAAUUUUGAAUCAACAAUCACGUACCCUUGAUUAUGGUAAUUUUUUAGUAGAUCAGACCAAUAUAUGCCAUAAAGUGGUAAGAUUUAAUCAUUUAUGAGUUGACAAUUUUAGCAGUCUAUACACCCUUCACCUAUAAAAAAUUAUGAUUAUUAUAAAAUGACAUUUUAUAAUAAUUUACAUAAUAUUUGCCAACUAAAAAUAAGUUUGAUAAAAAAAUAUGCAUACAAAUUAUAAUGUAAAUGAUACAAAAUAUAUUUGAAAGUCACAAAACUUAAUAUAUGGGUAAAUUUAAUAAUUUUCAAAGAUCAUGCUACAUUAAUACACCUUUAACUUUUAUAAUUGUGACCUAGAAAAUAAAUUUAUUAAAAUUUUACCAUUUUAUUAAAUUCAUAAGUAUUAAUAUACGGAAAUUGUGAUGUAUAGAUAAGUGCUAUUCUAUAUAUAACUCGAAAGAUUUGUUAUUGUCAUCCAAACUGUCUAACCUUUCACAAAUUCAAAAAUAAUUCAAAAAUUUGUAAAAUGACAAAUUAUUCUUACAUAUUUAUAAGGUCAUGUGAAAAAAUAGCCUUCAUAGUAUAUUUAAAAUGCUUGAAACACAUAACAUUUAUAAAUGAUGCAUACAAUCGUUUAUUAGACAUUUACGUUAUGAGCAAUUACUAACUAUAAUAUUUAGUUUCAAUCAUUAAUAAAAAAUCUUAGCAUUAUUUUAAAUAAACUUCUAAUACUUGUUUCAUAUAAGUUUCUUUAAGUAAAAUAAUAAAUUUAUGCCACAAACUAGUAAGUUUUGACGAUUAACCAAAUUUAUUAUUCUAUCAACAAGAUUUACUGUUAAUCUAUAAAAACUUACUAUUACUUGAAAUAAACUUACUCUCCAAAAAGUAAGUUUCCAAUAUAGAGUAGUAAUUUAUUUUAAAAAAGUAAUUUUUCAUAUAUAAUUCGAUUUGCCUCGGGUUAACUUACUAUUUUUAAUGCGAAAUUUACUAACCAAAUUUUUAGGUAUUAUCUUAUUUAGAUGACCGGUCCAACAGAUAAUCAAAUGAUCGUUAAACGUAUUUUUACCUGUCAUAUUAGGUAAAACCAGUUUCAUUAUCAUAAUUAUGUUACUUCAGACUUUUCCAAAAAUGGAAAAAAAGCAUUUGUUUUUGUUUGAUAGAUAGAAAAAACAUUUGCAAACUUGUCUCUAUACCCUUCUCAAUCCCUCCCUAUCCCUCUCGCUUACACAACAUCAUCUUCCACACCAAUACGACCUUACACAGAGUCAUUCUUACCGGUAUUUACUUCUCCAUCUUGAGUCAUUCUUACCAGUGAAAAUAAGUCCAACAAGUCUUGGAAGCCUAUCGGUUUGCGUCAUUCUCUGGAAAGGUCCUUCUUUUUAGCGUCGUUCUCUAGAAAGGUCCUUCUUUUCUUGAUUUCACCACGAGAAAGCUACUAGCAGACGAGGGAAGAGUAGCUCCCAAGGAGGGUCAGCAGAGCAAGGCAAACAGCAAAGGCACUACGCUUUGGUGCUUUUGCCAUUUCACUCUCACAAGACAAGAUCAUUAUACAACCUUGGGAUGGUCUAAAACUUGCACCUUUACUACAAAAAUUGGUUUUUUAAGUAAAACUUAGUACUUCAUCUUUGUGUUUUAAUUUUUUUCUUCCAUAUCUAAAACUUUCUAGGAACAUCAUUCAUGGCUCAAUGAGGCUGGAGUUGUGCUACUAGUCAUCAAGCAAGACCCAGGUUCAGGUAACGACCCUAUCUCCCAAUAUUUAGUAUAAUAUUUACUAGUAAUGAGCGGUAGUUUUGGACAUUAAUGUAUUUGUUAACCUAUUUUUAAGAUAUGUUGUUAUGAACUGAGUCUUAUGGAUGGUGAUGGAGCUAAUCAUAUGAUCAGCUACAAUGAUGAUCAAAUGAAAAGCAAUUGAAAGUUAGUUACUGCAAGCAAGCAAGAAGUUAACAGUUUGCUAGAAUAUUAGUGUUAGGUAAUAGAGGGAAUUUUGUAGUGCUUAUUACUAAAUCUUCAACCCACUUUCUGUAUAUAAAUAGAGGAUUGAUUGUAUCUUAGGCAGCAAUGAUUUGAGUUGUAAUAACUUCUCCUCUCUGGAAUAAUAAAAUCUUCUCAUUCUCCCUCAACCUCUUUUCUGAUACUUACCUUUUCUCAAUUCUCACUUCUUCUACUUUCUCCCUAAACCUCUUCUCUGAUACUUACCUCUUUCUCAAUUCUCACUUCUUCUACUUUCUCCCUAAACUCUCUUUUCUGAACCAGAUCAUUAUAUAUGUGUCCUAUAAUAUAAUAUUUAAUAUUUUAGUUUAGUAUUAGUGAGUAAUAUUUAGUAUAAUAUUUUACUAGUAAUGAGCACUAUUUUUUGAUGGUAAUGUGUUUAUUAAUCUAUUUUUUUAAGAUAUGUGUCCUAUAAUAUAAUAUAAUAUUUUAGUUUAGCAGUAAUGAGGAGUGAGCACUAGUUUUGCAUAUUAAUGUAUUUGAAUAUUUGGAUGUUAAUGUAUUUUUAAGAUAUUUGGAUAUUAGGAUAUUAAUGUAUUUGUUAAUUUAUUUUUAAGAAAUAUGUUGGGCUAUUAUUGGAUUGGAAGUAAUCUCUUCACAGUAUAAAGCUCUCCACCCUGAAGAGGAGCACCAGUCAUUGUCUAUACAGAAGGCUAUCAACUACGUUAGAGACUACUACUAUAGCAUGCAAGUACCGGACGAUGUGAAGGAAGACGCAUACUCUUGUCAACGGGUAUUUGAAUACGCCAAUGGCUUGUUUGGAUUGAGAUGAUUUCAAGUAAAAUAAUUUGUUUUACAAAUUCCAACUAUAUUUUUAUUUUCUCAGUCACCUUUUUAUCUCAUAUAUAUCACAAUACAAAAAAAUGCUAUAGUAAUUAUCUCAAAUAAAUCAUCCAAAUAAACUCCUAUCCAAACAAACGCAAUGUUUGAAUGAGGAUUAUCCAUGGGAUCGUGCCAACAGGAGGUGUAAUCCACCUCAAAAUGUAAGUUUGUUCUAGUUAAUGUUUUCUGUAAUUUUUUUAAAAAUAGCUAAUACUAAAUAAAAUGUUUGAAUUUUUGUCUUUACAAAUAAAGCGAUUCUUUGCAAGAAGUUUUAUACAGCCAAGCACAAAGGAAGAAGUCAAUUUGGCACUCUCACAAUUUCCUCUUACUGGUGUAGUGUGUGUCUAUCAAAGCUUUAUCCGUCUCAAAGGAAGGGUUAGGAAAAAAAUCAACUAAAAUUAUGUAUAUGCACAAUCAUGUGUUUUGAUGUAAAAUUGAAUGUUAUUGCAUUGUAGGACAUUUAUCAUGGACCAACGGAGGAGGAAAAUUAUUUGGGACUUCAUGCAAUUUUGUUGAUGGGGUUUUGGGUCAAAGAUGGGGUUGAGAUAUUUCAAUCAAGAAUUCAUAGGGUACUGGUUUUGGACACAAUGGGAUUAGAAAAAUCAGAAGAGAGCUCGUCUCCAAGAUAAUGUAUCCUACGGAUAUAUUUUGGUGUCAUAGGGACUAAAAUCCUAUCAAGUAGGCCUUUCCAAAGGUAAGGAAGAGGACAAAGAUGGGGGUGGAAAUAAAGGAACAAAAGAAGUGGCAAAAGGGGAAAACUGGUGCUUCUUCCAAAAAUCAAUGGAAAGGGAGAAGGAAGCCUGGUGCUUUUCAACAAAUGAAGGUGUGAGUUCUACAUUUUGCAGUGUAUAUAUCUGUUGAGCCAAAACAUAUUUUAGGAUGUUAUUUAUUUUUGAUUAUGUGUUGAUUUUCAUGAAUGUUAACAUGGGCUUUGAUAAUAGGAUAUUUGAGGUUUUUCUUUCAAAAGUAAAAAUGAUUUGGGGAUACUUGUUCAUAUUCUGAACUCUCUUAAAGGUUAUUGUUAAUUUUUAAGCUUAUUACUUUCUCUGUCUCUGCUGCUGGCAAUUUGUUGACCUUGGUCGAUCAAUCCUUGGUUUGAUGAUUAACAAACCAAAAUGAAGAUUUGGGCUAAUGUUUUUAUGUGAGCAAUUUGUUAGAACAGAUUCUUGUGGCACAAAAGAAGAAGCAAAAACAGGGCACUCAUGUGGGACGUCCGAAAGGAUGAAGAACAUCAACGGACGCACGCAUCGGACGCACAUCGAUCGCAUCGGACGUCCGAGAAAUUUCGCAAAGAUUUGAUGACUCUCUGACGACGUUCGGACGCAGGGUUCGGACGUCCGACAGGUGGUUUGGACGCAGGGUUCGGACGUCCGACAGGCCAACGGCUAGUUUUGACAGCAUUUAAUAUUUGACCGUUGGAGAGACUUUUGGAGCCAUUUCUCACCUUCUAUAAAAACCCCAAAGCACAAGAAGACAAGGGACUUUUGCCAACACAAAAUACAAGCUUACAAGUGAGAUUUUUGAGUAGAAAGAUUCUUUGUUGGUUGUAUAAGGGGUUGGGAAAGUUGGGUUGUGAGGUUGCUCAAGUGAAGGUUAUUCUCUAGGAGGAGUAAAACCUUGGUGAAGGUGAUCCUAUCACUUGAAGUGGUAAAAUCUUGGUGAAGGUUGCCUCAUUUGUAUAAAAUAGUUCUUAAUUGGGUGAGUGAUCUUUCAAGUGUAGGUUGUUGAGGGUUAACUAGAAUUGUUGUAAAACUCCUUGGUUCAACCAAAGUGUGUUUGGGGUGAGGAAGGAGUGAGUCUUCACUUGUACAUCUUGGUUAGCAUCGCCAUCUAUUGAAGAAGCUAUUGGAUUCAUAUUUGGUUUGCAUUUCUUAUCUUUUCUCUUUAAUUAAGUUUUCUUUAUUGUGCUUAAAUUUGAUAUAUCUUUGUGCAUCAUUGUGAUAUUGUUUGUACUCAUUGGGUUGCACCGGGCACUUACAAUUGGUAUCAGAGCUUGGUCUCUUUUGAUCAAGUUUAACCGCUUAGAGUAAAGAUCAUGGCAACCAUAAAAGUUUCUUUUUUAGAAGGGCAAUCUAUUGAUAGACCACCUAUGUUUAAUGGUUCUCAUUUUAGCAUGUGGAAACAAAGAAUGAUGAUUUUCUUACAAUCCGUUUAUAUUGAAUUAUGGUAUGUGGUAGAAGAUGGUACUUAUGAAGUUAGAAUAGUUGACUCUACCACUAAUUUGAGUAGAUUAAAGACUAGACAAGAAUUGAAUGAAAAAGACAAAAGAUACCUUUCUUUGAAUGCCAAGGCCAUGUGUAUAUUGUAUAAUGCAUUAGAUGUAAAUGAAUCUAGUAGGAUUAAAGGUUGUAAAUCAGCUAAAGAUAUUUGGGAUAAAUUGUGUGUAUUUCAUGAAGGUAACCAAGAUAUUAAAGAACAAAAGAAAUCUUUGCUUGUUUCUCAAUAUGAAUUUUUCAAAAUGCAUCCUCUUGAAAAUGUUGAUAAGAUGUGUAGUAGAUUUUGUGACAUUAUUGAAAAUCUUAAAUUGCUUGGAAAAGAAUAUUCUUUGGAUGAGAAAAAUAGAAAGAUUUUGAAUGCCUUGCAAAAAGAAUGGGAAAACAAAAUAAAUGCUAUAGAAGAAGCAAAGGAUUUAAAUUCUAUGUCCAUUGAAUCUCUUGUGGAUACCCUAACCUCUUAUGAAUUAAAGCUGAAAUUCAAAGUGCAAGAGGAAGAAAAUGCAAGAUUGUAUAAGAGAGGCAUUGCUUUUAAAGCAUCUCAAGUGGGGGAUAACCCAUCCUUCAUGGGUAAUGAAAUCAUGGAAGUGGACAAUGAUAUAACUCCUCACAUCAAAAGUUUCAAGAAGAUCUUCAACAAGAGAUGUUCAAGAGGAGAUUGCAAAAUUACAUGGGAUGAAUGCAAUUCAAAAAGAGAAAAAGAAGAGUUGGCCCAAAUGGCACUAAUGGCCGUUGGAGAAGAUGAGGUAAGUUCUUAUCACUCUUCUUGUGAUGAAGAUAAUGAAGAUGAUGAUGUGAAAAUUCUUAUGAUUAAAAUGCAUAAAAGUUUGAGAAAAUCUUAUGCUAAAAAUAAAGAUUUGAAAACAAAAAUAAAUGAUUUGUUGGAAGAAAACUCCAAACUUUUUCAAGAAAACAAAUGUUUGAGAAUGGAAAAUGAUGAUUUAAAAAAUCAAAAAAGUUUUUGAUUGCAAAAAUAAUUUGAAAAGGAAGUUGGAAGAGAAAACAAAGUUUUAUGAAAAAAUGUUGGAGGAACAAAAUGUGUUAAAGAAAAGAAUUAAUGAUUUGAACGAGUUUCUCCAAAACGAAAAACAAAAGUUUUCUCAAACAAAAGAAAACAAAUCUUUUCAAGGCACAAAUAAGUUUGCUAUGAUAAGAAAUAAGAAAAUUAGUUGCAUUAAAUCCACCUAUGUGCAAAAUACUUCUAUCAUGUGUCACUUUUGUUGCAAAUUUGAACAUAUGCAAAAUGAUUGCUAUGUAAAGAAAAAUAUGAGAAAAUGCAUGAAAUCCAUGUGGAUUGCUAGAUCAUGUCGUAUUAACUCCCAAGGACCCUAUAAAGAAAGGGUACCAAAUGAAAUUUCUCAUAUUUAGGUACAUCAUGAAGAUUUGAUCCAAGGAGUGCUGAAUGGUUGUAAGUACAUUUGAAAAUUUUGAUAUUCAAUAUGGUCUUGAUUUGAAAAAUAAAGGGGGAGUUUGUUUUUUUUGAUUGAUGCCAAAAGGGGGAGUAGGAUUUAUUGAAAUUUCUUUGUAUGUUGGCACUUUCUAAGGGGGAGCUUUAUUUGAACUUAUUUGAUAAAAGAAAUCUUCAUUUUGUUUGUCAUCAUCAAAAAGGGGGAGAUUGUUGACCUUGGUCGAUCAAUCCUUGGUUUUGAUGAUUAACAAACCAAAAUGAAGAUUUGGGCUAAUGUUUUUAUGUGAGCAAUUUGUUAGAACAGAUUCUUGUGGCACAAAAGAAGAAGCAAAAACAGGGCACUCAUGUGGGACGUCCGAAAGGAAGCUAUCGGACGUCCGAAAGGAUGAAGAACAUCAACGGACGCACGCAUCGGACGCACAUCGAUCGCAUCGGACGUCCGAGAAAUUUCGCAAAGAUUUGAUGACUCUCUGACGACGUUCGGACGCAGGGUUCGGACGUCCGACAGGUGGUUUGGACGCAGGGUUCGGACGUCCGACAGGUGGUUCGGACGUCCGACAGGCCAACGGCUAGUUUUGACAGCAUUUAAUAUUUGACCGUUGGAGAGCCUUUUGGAGCCAUUUCUCACCUUCUAUAAAAACCCCAAAGCACAAGAAGACAAGGGACUUUUGCCAACACAAAAUACAAGCUUACAAGUGAGAUUUUUGAGUAGAAAGAUUCUUUGUUGGUUGUAUAAGGGGUUGGGAAAGUUGGGUUGUGAGGUUGUUCAAGUGAAGGUUAUUCUCUAGGAGGAGUAAAACCUUGGUGAAGGUGAUCCUAUCACUUGAAGUGGUAAAACCUUGGUGAAGGUUGCCUCAUUUGUAUAAAAUAGUUCUUAAUUGGGUGAGUGAUCUUUCAAGUGUAGGUUGUUGAGGGUUAACUAGAAUUGUUGUAAAACUCCUUGGUUCAACCAAAGUGUGUUUGGGGUGAGGAAGGAGUGAGUCUUCACUUGUACAUCUUGGUUAGCAUCGCCAUCUAUUGAAGAAGUUAUUGGAUUCAUAUUUGGUUUGCAUUUCUUAUCUUUUCUCUUUAAUUAAGUUUUCUUUAUUGUGCUUAAGUUUGAUAUAUCUUUGUGCAUCAUUGUGAUAUUGUUUGUACUCAUUGGGUUGCACCGGGCACUUACACAAUUUGUGUUGCAAACUUAGGGGGAUUGGCUUUAAGUAUGAGAAAUGCCAAUUUUGAGAAUUGUUUAACCUUUUUAUGUUUCUCUAGAACUGUAGCUUAUUAUAUUCUGUAGGUUUAACUUGUGCGUCUAUAAACAUAUGGUACCUCAUUGUCAUAAGAUUCUGAUUUUUAGUCCUAGCUUUUCAGCGUUAAUAUUGGCACAUGAUUACAUGCUGAUCUCAAUAUCUUGAUCCUGUAGAAUUCCAAUAUGGACAAGCUUAAACUAAAUGUGCCAAAGUUGCCUUAACUUGAACUUAAUGCUUUUAGCCAGAGACUGCAAAAGAAUAAGAAUCAUGCUUAUAAAAUGCCUUAACUCUCGUAUACUUGUUUCCAGCAUGAAAGCAUAAAAUGCUUGAAAUGGUUAUCACCACCGUGAAUCUAGUCUUCUCUUCUCAUGCACUGCAUUUUAGUAGUUCAAAAAUUUGAGUAGUUUAGGAAUCUAACUUUUUGUCAAAUACUUGCUAUUUAUUUCAUGCUUGGAUCUACGACUUGUUUCCUGUUUGCCAUUUCCUUGCAGGUUAACAUAGCUCUUCAUGUUCUUACAUGCCCUGUGGCAGAUCAGGUUAACUGUCUAUUGAACCCUUGGUUGCUCUGAAGGCCGUGAUUGCAGGUUAACUUCAAUGCAUGGGCCUUGCCUUCCAGAGUUCAUGAUACUUUGAAGGCUGUGGUUGCUCAUUACAGUGCAAGCCAGCUCAUAACUCAAAGAGAGGUGAGGACCAGAUAUUUGCUCCAUUAGAAUUCUUUAACUGUAAGGGGAAUAAAGGAAAACUUCUGAUAUACAAGAACUUGUUCUUAUCUGGAAAUGCAUUUUAUCAGUCACAUAAACAUGAAAGUGACAUAGACACGAGCCUUUCUAAGUAUGACAUUGAUCUUUCUAAUAGAUAUCUGUCAAGUGCUUAGUUUUUAGUUGUGCUCAAUCAAACAUUCAAUGGAUCCUUCUUUAUCUUUUCUAAGAUUACAGGAGGUAUACAUUUGUUGAUUUUUGUUUAUGCAGACUGUCAGUCAGGAAAUUCGGGGCCUUUUGGCCAGAAAAGCAGCCUCCUUUAACAUUUCACCUGAUGAUGUUUCUAUAACCUGUCUGACUUUUGGAAGGGAAUUUACUGCUGCAAUUGAGGCAAAGCAAAUUGCUGCACAAGAAGCUGAGACAGCUAUAUUUGUUGUGGAAAAAGCUAAAUAGGAGAAUAAAAGUGCCAUAGUCAGAGCAUAGGUAAGAUAAUUUCUUCAGUUACUUGAACAUUGUAUGUGCAACCAGUUUCACAAAACACAAAAGUUGUAACUCUUUGAGUUAACUUUUCAUGCUUCAAGAAUCAUUUAAUUUGGAGUUCUGCGGACCGAGAUAUGGCCAAAAUAUCAUCAACUGGUCAGAGCUCUGUUUCAUGUUUCGAUCAUGCAUAUGUACUUCUGUAUCUCGACUUUUUGACAAGAAAGACGACUAAACUGGAUUUCGAUAUCUUCAUACCAAAUGUAGAUCUCUUUCUUAGCUUCAAAAUGGUUAAGAAUUAUCUCAAUCCAAUACUUGUAUCUCAAGAUAUUGCCAAAAUACCACAAGAUGUCAAAACUGUCUUCACUUGCAUUCGUUCCUUUAAAUGUUUUGCACUUCAUGUCUUCUUUAAACCACUUCAAUUCAUCAAUAAUCAUCCAAUUCUCUUCUCAAUUCAUGCCAAUUGAUGAUUGAAUCACCAAACUUACAAAAACAUGAAAUUUUCACUAUUAAAAUUCAUAGAAAUGUAAUUUUUGCCACUUAAACCACAAAAUGUAUAUUUUUACCAAAAUCUGGUCAGAGCUCUGUUUCAUCUUUCGACCAUGCACAUGUACUUCUGUAUCUCAACUUUUUGACAAAGAAGACGACUGACUGGAUUUCAAUGUCUUCGUACCAAAUAUAGAUCUCUCUCUUAGAUUCAAAAUGAUAUAAGAAUUACCUCAAUCUGAUGCUUGUAUCUCAAGAUAUUGCCGAAAUAUCACAAUGUGUCAAAACUAUCUUCAGUUGCAUUCCUUCCUUUGAAUGUUUUGCACUUCAUGUCUUCUUUAAACCACUUCAAAUAAUUAAUAACCAUGUAAUUCUCUUCUCAAUUCAUGCCAAUUGAUGAUUGAAUCGCAAACCUACAAAAACAUGAAGUUUUCGCCAUUAAAAUCCAUGAAAAUGCAAUUUUUGCCAUUUAAACCACAAAAUGUAUAUUUUUCCAAAAUCCUAGUUAAUUAGUUAUAAAACUAAAUAAAACACACCAAAAUUAGCUAAUAAAAUAUACUAAAAAUAUGUAAAAUAUAUACUUAUCAAUACCAAUUAAGUUGAGAUGGAACGUUAAAGACAAUAAUAGCAUAGUCCGGAGACAACAAAACAAAUAAAGAAGAAGUUUAUAGUACAUACUUUUGAAUGGAAAAAUUCCUCUUCUAAUAAGCUCUCUAUAGUGCAAGUAUCCAAUGAAAGAACAAGCAGAAGCAGUCCAAAAUUGAACUUCAAGGAUGCCCAAAUCUUCAGCAGCUUUGAUGACAAAGCGCAUGCCACCAUUAGAAAUCACACAACUAACAGGGGGCACUUCAGAAGACGAGUUCAGUUUAAUCAAAAGCUCAUUAAAAGGAACCAAACAAUUUUUUCUGACAGAAUCACAAAUCGGAGGUACAUCUUGAGUGGCAUCUUUAUCUGAUGGUGGCAUCCCAUCAGGGAUAGUCUCAAACCUGAAAUCAUGGAACCUUUUAACUGAUGCUGGCCCUUUUGAUCAAAUCAAACGUUUGUGGUUAAAUUCAGUGUUGACAAAGGUUAUAUGGAACCCUUUGGCAUGCAAAACCUUAGCGAGUCUUAUUAAUGGGUUAACGUGGCCUUGAGCUGACAAUGGAACCAAGACUGCAUGAGGUUUUUCUGUGGUUCUUGUGGUUUCCAGAGAACCCAUUUUCUAUUUAAAUGAAAGUCGAAGGCGAAGUAUUAUGCAUAAGUCCCUUAUUGAUGGUGCCAUUUAUGGGAUUUGGGGCAAAAAUUAAUUCAGACCAUACACAAAGGUCUACACAAGUCAUACACUAUACUACAAAAUAUAGUGCAAAACAUUUGUUUCAUGGGUCACACACGUCCAAUGAAAAUCAAAGUGAACUUUUUAAAUUUUUGCUGUGCAUAUUUAAAAGGGUUAAUUACACUUUACUCCUUGAAUGUGGUGUUCAUUUGCACUUUCCCCUUGAAUAAAUAAAAGGCACUUUGUGCUUGUAGAAUUUAGGGAAAAAAUACCUUCUAAUAAAUCUGCUUAACAGAGUAGGUAUAGAAUAACAUUUAUCAUGUCCAAAAAAAAAAAGAAAAAAAUCUGCUUAACGGAUUAGCCAAAAAGACAAAUGAGCCCUUUAAUUAAGUUUUAACUAAAGUAACAAAAGUUAAUUAUGAGCAGAUAUAUUUUUCAAAAAAAUAAACAUGAAAUGAGGAUAUAUAUAUAUAUUUAACUAUUACUGAUUCAUUUACUGCAUAUUUAUUUACUGUAAACAAACUUGAAGAUGGUUCAUCAAUAUUCUAAAAUGACCAUGUUGUAAUGCAAUAAGAUCCCAUUAAAUAUGUUUGCAAUAACAUAUAGUCCACUUUCGCUAGUAAAAUAUUUUAUCAAAUAAUAGCAGCCUUUUUUUAUUGUUUUCAUAAGUUGAGCUUAAGAAAAAUAUUAUAAUUCAAUUAUCAAACUUUAAGCAUGUACAAAUGAAUGAAUAAUCAUAUAAAUUGGAUGAGGAAACACAUUUUUUUGAGUUAUUUUAUGAAGGGUAUAAUUAUACAAUAUCCUUAACCGUCAAAGUUUUAAACAAUUUAUUAGUUAAAAUUGCAAGUAUCAUAUUUUUCUCGGAGCAAAGAGAAUAUUGUUUGCAUUUAGAGGGAAAAGUGCUUAUUAUUCCCACAUGUAGGAGGCAAACUAUAAUCAACUUUUUGAGAAUUUGAAACUUCAAUAAUUCAUGACCGGGUUACCUUUUUCCCACGGGGAUGUCAUGCCACAAGAUGGCCUAUGCAGACUAGUACACUUGUCCAACAUUAAUUGUAUAAUAUAGCUUAAGAAUUUUAUGGCUAAAAAAAUUCAUUUUUAAAAGUACACAAUAAAGACAUAUAGUGACCCAAAGACGUCAACCAAAUGUUAUUAAAAGCAACCUCUUCCUAUUUAUAUUGCCAACUUUUUUGGGUGAAAUCCUUAAAAAUUAUUAUAUGAAACAUGGGAAAAGUUUAGAGAUUUGUUUCGAAAAUGUCCAUACCAUAGAUUUCUCGAUUGGCUAAUUGUACAAAUCUUCUAUAUUGGUUUAUCCUUUUCUACGAAAACUACUAUCGAUGCAGCCGCAAGUGGAGUUUUGAAGGCAAAAUCAUCUCAAGAAUCUCAAGAUUUUAUAGAGAAAAUGGCAGUAAACAAUUAUCAAUGGGCUAAUGAAAGAGAUAAUCUAAGGCACCUAACAUUUAUGAUUGAAAGUGCUUAGUGCUCAAAUGAGCAAUAUGAUGAAGGUGUUGAAUAGACAAGUCGGAUGUAGUACACAUUCUUCUUCCAUUGUGCAUGUUGCUUGUUGUUUUAUAUAUAGAGGUGAUCAUGAGUCUAACGAGUGUGUUGAUAUUGAGUAGGUUCAAUUUGUCAAUAAUUACAUUAGGAAUGCUCAAAAUAACCCAUACUCAAAUACAUACAAUUCGGGAUGGAGAAAUCAUCCAUAUUUUGAGUGAAAAGAUUAAGGCAGCCCUCAAAGAUUGACUAAUCUGUCGGAAUUCUAAUUAAGGCAACCACAGACGAAUACUAAACCGGAUUGGGAGAUAGCGAUCGAGAAGUUAACUAAGGGCAUUUCGAAAAGAUUUGAGCAAAUUGAGGGGCGGUUAGACUAAUUGAUUGGGAUUAUAGAAAUAUGGGGGUUCAAAUUGGUCAAAUUGCUAAUUCAAUUAACAAUAGAAAUUCUGGCAAAUUGCCGAGUAAAACUGAAAUGAAUCCAAGAGAACAUGUCAAUGCUAUCACUCUUAGAAGUGAUAAAAUGGUUGAGGGACCUAACUUAGGCAAUUCAAGUGGUGAAAAGAUAAGGAGCAAGUAAUUGAAGGAGUGAAAGAAAUCCAAAAUGAUCAUGUUGUAAUUGAUAUAGAAGUACUUCCUCCUAAUUUAAAGUUUAAUGUGAUUCCUUUUCCACACAGGUUGUAGAAAGAUGGGAAAGAUCGAGAGUUUGAGAAAUUUUCAAAAUUUUUAAACAAUUACACAUUAACAUUCCUUUUAUUGAUGCUAUUACACAGAUUUCCUCUUAUGCGCGUUUCUUAAAGGAUAUCAUGCCAAAAAAGAAGAAAAUUGUGGAUAAUGAGAUGAUAGUGUUAACGAAAGAAUAUAGUGCAUUGAUUAAGAACAAACUCCCUCCUAAAUUGAAAGAUCCGAAAAUUUUUUUUAUUCCUUGUACUAUUGGUCAACUGCAUUUUUCUAAUGUUUUAUAUGAUUUAGGUGCGUGUCACUUAUGCCACUAUCAGCUAUAUGGAAGUUGGGACUUCAAGAGUUGAAAGCUAUCAAUAUCAUAUUGCAAUUGGCGGAUCGAUCAAUUACACAUCCAAUUUAUUUUGAAAAAUGUGCUCAUAAGCUAUAGAAAAAUCUAUUAUACUGAGAUUGUUGUCUUAAAUAUUGAGAAAGAUGUAAAAAUGUCAAUUAUUCUAGGAAGACCGUUUUUAACCACUGCACGAACCAUAAUUGAUAUGGAAAAAGGAAAGUUUAUAUUACGAGUUGAUGAUGAGGAGUUGAAAUUUAAUUUGAUUGAUAAAGAUAGGGGUAUAGAGUCUAUUGCUCUUGUUUCUAAUAUGCCAUGGGACGAAAAGAUUAAUCAGGGAAUGAAUGAAGAAGUCAAGUCUACAAAUCUCCUUGGUACUAACUUUCAUGGUGUAGGAUUAAGGGAGAUGAGGACAAGGACAGAAGUUGGUUUGAUAAAGUCGCCAUUCCAAGAAGGAAGAGGUGAAAGAUUGAGUCAAUUUGAAAAAGACCAGCAAAUUCUACACCAAGGUGAAGUCAAGUCUUCACAUGAAAAGUCUAAUACUCCUCCUUGGCAUUUGAGGAAGUUGGACUUUGGAGAUCAAUGCAUGGCUCAUCACACGGUGGAUUAGUUGGGGAGUUUUGACCCAUGGGAAGAAAAUCACUCCCCAAUGUUCGAAAAAUAUCCAAAUCUUUUGAGUCAAGCCAACGACUAUAAAUAAAAACGCUAGUUGGGAGGCGACCCAAUGUUUAUGUUAUAUAUUAUAGGUUCGACAAACAGAAGCAAAGAUGACCAUUUGAGGUGGAAAAGACGAAGUGUGAUCAAGGAACUCAAUUUCUCGAUUUGUGUUAAAGGUGUUUUCGAUCUAUUAAAAAGGGAUAAAAUGUAUGUUUCGAUCAUUUUACAUAUGCAUGCGAUGAUAAAUUUAACAAAAAAUGAUCUAGAAUGCAUUUUGAGUUUUUAGGGUAGAUUUGCAUAAUUUUGAGAAACUUGAAAUUUCUACAAAAUUUGCAGAAGAAUACGCACAACUUAGAAAGACGCGACUUUGAAUUGCGUGUUCUAUUAUUCGCGUAUUCAGUUCUACAAGUUCAUUGCAGAAAACGCGAUUUCGAAUAUACAACUCAAAGUCGCGUAUUCACAUCUGCAAAGAUAUAACUAAAAACACAACUUCAAAUACGCAACUUGAAGUUGUGUAUUCAAUUCUAAAAUGUUUUCACAGAAAACGCAACUUGCAAUACGCGACUGGAAGUCGGGUAUUCUUCCCUUGAUACAAAACCCUAAAACGCGCGUAUUCUUCCCUUGAUACAAAACCCUAAAACGUGACUUUCCUUUUCAGUUUUCUUCUUCAUUCAUCUUCCAGCCGCCUUUUCCUUCAGCCCAAAACUCCUCUUCACAAAAUUCCACUUUUUGCUCAAUUUCUUGCUAGAUAGCAUCAACCCAUUAUCAUUUAGUCCUCAUAAAGUCUUUUUAACUGAUUGAAAUCGACGAAAAAUAACUCAAAAUCGAUUUUUAAGAAAUUUGGAGCUAGGAUUUGUAGUUCUUAAAUUCAUCAAUUGGAGGUCAAUUAGAGUGAUUUUCAUAAGGCUUUUGCAUAAUCAUCAUCUCCAAACAUCACUCUUUGUGAUUGAAGUGAGUUUCUUCAAUAAGUUUUUGUAUUUUAGAAGUUGAUAUUUCUCAAUUUCCUGAGUUUUCUGACAUCUUCUAAUUUUGAAUUUUUGAUGAUGUUUAUUGAAGUUUUUGGCCUCUAUUAUAAUUAUUUAGAUUGUUUAAGCAUGUUUACACGUUCAAAUGUAGCAAAUUGAUGGAUUAUUAGUUCUUUAAAUUUUUAAUUUAUUAUAUUUGGUUAAAACUAAAAAAUUAGUUUGGAAUGUUAUUGAACCAAUUGUGAUAAAUGAUUAUGAUUCAAAAUAGUUUGUUGAUGAUAUUUUAGCAUGUGCAUUGUAUAUAGAGAGUGAUUUGAUGAAUUUUGUGAGUUAUUAGGAUGAUUUUUGUUUAGCUAUAUUUAUAGUUAACUGUGCAUUAUUGUUGCUAAUUAUAGAUUGUUAUAAUCAUGAUUAUUGCUAGUUUGAUUAAUUAGGAUAUAUUUGUUGCCUAUUUUAAUAAAUUGAUGAUUUUGGACAAUUUUGGACAUGUUUUAUGUCAUUUCUCGUAUGUCAUAAUAGUAGUCAUUUAAGUAUAUUUACUUGAUUUCUUAUAACAUGAAGGGAUAUAUUUGUGAUUAUUUGAGCCAAUUAUGGUUGUUUAUUGUUAAAGCUAUGAAAUAUGUCUUAGUGCAUGUGGAUAUUAGAAUCAUUUUUCUUAGGUACUAUGGCAAGAAGAAAGCAAGUUGUCUACUCAUCAUUUAGUAGUGAUGAAAUGGAGGUGAGUGAGAAUAUUGAAGAAAGUGUAGAAGAGAUGUCAUCUUCACCCCAAUCGGUAAGGGGACUACAAGGGAAGGGCACUUUUCAAAGUGCUGAAGUUACCGCUUUGAUAAUGCCAAGUUUACAAGUCUUAGGAAUCAAGAGUGGCACCAAACACAUGAUAAUUUUGAGUUUCUCUUUGAGAUGCAUAUGAGUCCAGAAAUUAAAGUGGUUUAUUGUAUUUCGGAGGCAUUUAACCAAUUUGGUUGGGCACCGAUGCUCACAUUACUGACUCACUAUUAUCCUGACUUGGUGCGCGAGUUCUACGUUAAUAUUGAUAACAAAGCACAUCAUAGUGGCGAGAUAGUGGAGUCAUGGGUGCAUGGAAGGCACAUUGUUUUAUCGUGGGAGUACUUAACUGCUAUUUUGGGUUGUAACAACCAAGGUCGGGCAGUCGAUCUGAAUAAGAGUUUGGUCGUACCCAAUAGGCGAUGGUAUUCAUCGUACGCCAUGACUAGGUUUGGUUUUGAAUACCAACCUUUUAGAUUUUCAAGGAAGGAGACAAUGGUGGCAAGCGUCUUAAAAUCUCGCCAUUGUCUCAUUAUCUAUAUGAUGGUACACAAUCUCAUACCCAAAAAGAUGGGUCAUACGGAGAUCCGAAAAAGUUAUAUUUAUUUUUUUGAUUAUAUGUUUCAUAAUCGGAAAUUCUCCUACACUCGAAUUCCAUUGUCAAACAUCAUCAUUAGCUACAUAAGGUCUACGGAGAGGUGAAGGACUAUUUCGUUCAAAUUGGCAUUUUCUCGUCUUCUCUCUUUGGUGUUCGAGCGGCUAGACGUUAACCUGCAGGGGGUAACUCGGAAAUUUGUUAAGCCUAAAACUAAGUUAUCGAUUUUUUCCCUUCGUCGUAUGGGUAUUGGUACAGAAAACAUUCCUUAGCCUGUUCGAGAAUGUAGACAAAAGGCACGACAUAGCUGAGAGGAAGCGGGACCUUCUACUGCUGCACCUCCUCCUUCACCAUCACAAUCGAAUUGGCAGCGGCUCUUUACUCGCUUGGACGAUAUCGAGUAUCAGUUGGAACGAAUGGACACUUGCUUGGAGAGAAUUGAGUAACACCUAGGCAUUCCUCCACCUCAUGACGGCGAUGAAGAUGAUGAUAAUGAUUGAAGCUGCACCUCUAGAAUAGCUCUUAUUAUUGUUUCCUGAUUUUCUUGUCGUUUUUAAUCUUUUGUUUGUAGGAUAUUUAACUUGCCCUUUUUCUUUUACAUUUCAUCUUUUGGAUAGUGUUAGUAGAUGUUUGUAUUUUAGCAAAGGUUCGUGAUUCAUGAUUGAUCUGGAUCUCAGCCAUUGCAUUGGGGAGUACUUUUUUUCUAUCUUUUGUUAUUUUUCUUUCCCUACACAUUGAAGACAAUGUGUGUUUUAAGUGUGGGGAAGAAAAUGUGUGGUAGUUUAAUAUGUUUUGUGUUUAUUACUUGGACUUGAUGUUUGGAAUAUGAAUUGCACUUAAUUGUUGUUAAUCUUGGGUUGCUGGCAUUUUAAGGAGAAACUCUGUCAAAAUUUUUUCAAAAUCUUGUUCAAAUUUGCCCCAAAAAAUUUUAAAUUUUUUCAAUUUUAUCCAAAGGGCAACAAGUUUCACAUUUUUAGUAACUCAAAUUCUUUCUAUUUUUGAAAUAAAUAUAUGUGAUUUGAAAACUUCUUUUCUCAUUUAACUUGAAAAUAAUGUGAUCGUAAUUUGUGUUUUUAUAGGAAAGUAUAUCUUAUAAAGUGGAGAAAAUUAUGCCUACAUUUUGCAUGAUUGAUGAAAUUUCUUCUCUUUACUUGAUUUUAUAAGUUAAGUGAUAAAUAUGAUCAAUAAUUUCAAUACUCAUCUCAUGAUUAUGCUUUUGAGGGACUAAUUAUUAUCUUUAUUUCGAGAAAAAAGUUAAAAAAAGGAAAGUAAAAAAGAAAAAAGAGAAAAUAAAAGUUUUUCUACUUCAAUGGUUUUUGUACUUAAUAAUCAGGAGUCUUCAUCUAUAAAUGUUGACUUUCGUAUAAAACAGUACUUGAAUUAAGAGUAUGCAAAGUAAUUUGAAUAUGUGAAGUGUUGAAUAACUGGAGAUCUUCAUCUAAAAUUAUCGAUCGCCACGUCAAAAGACACUUUCACAACUUGAGUAAUAUUUAGCUAUGCUAUAUGAAUAAACUCUUUUCUAAAUUUGAAUAAGACCAUAAUCAUAUGUUUAGGAAGCAAUUGUAUUGAUCAUAGGAAUCGCUUGAUUGUGAAAUUGGGUAAGGAUGAGAAAUUGAAUUGAACUAUUUAUAACUAGAAUAUAAUUACCUUUCCUUUACUUGAUAUUAUGAGUAUUUGAGAAUUAAUGAAUGAUUGUAUAAUGGUUGUUUACCUUAUUUUUGAGAAAAUGAAGUUGAAAUUUGCACAUAUGUUUAUUUUCAAAAUAUUGGAUCAUUGUUAGCUUAUAUUUUUAAUUGUUUGAAGACAAUCAAUGGUUCAAUUGUGGGGGAGUUUGACAAGAGCAUAUUUUACGUGUUUUUAGUGUGUUUUAUUAGUUACUUUUGAUGAAUUUUAUUUAGUUUUAUAGCUAAUUUAUUAGGAUUUUAGUGAAAAUGCAUAUUUUGUGGUUUAAAUGGUAAAAAUUACAUUUUUAUGAAUUUUAAUAGUUAAAGCGUCAUGUUUUUAUUAGUUUAAUGAUUCAAUCAUCAAAAGAAAUGAAUUGAGAACAUUUGUGGAUGAUUGUUGAUGACUUAAAAUGGUUUAAAGAAGAUAUGAAAUGCAAAACAUUCAAAGGAAGAAAUGCAAGUAAAGACAGUUUUAAUAUCUUGAGAUAUUUUGACUAUAUCUUGAGUUACAAGCAUCAAAUUGAAGUGAUUCUUAUACCAUUUUGAAGUAAGAGAUAGAUCUAAAUUUGAUAUAAAGAUAUCAAAAACCAGUUCAGUCGUUUUACAGAAGUGCAUGUGCAUGAUCGAAAGUUGAAAUAGAGCUCUGACCAGUUAAUGGUAUUUUGGUAAUAUCUCGGUUCACAGAGCACUAAAUUUGAUGAUUCUUGUAGCAUUGGAAAGGGUUACAACUUUCAUGUUUCGCACAAGAGCUAGUUUAGUGUCGAUCAUUGAGAAAAUAUCAGUUGAAAUGAUGUCAAAUUCACAGAAGUGAAUACAUUACUCUUGAAUACGUGAGUUGAAGUCGCGUAUUGUAGCCAGAUUUUUUGCAACUUACUCUGCUUUCAUACUACUUUCUACCUCUACUCCAGACAAGAAUUUGGGCUGCACAUGUUCAAGGAACCUUUUGAAAGAAAAAAGGAGCUCUAUGUUUUAUCCAAAAACUACUUUUUGACUCUCUUAACAAGAGAAAUGUAAGAAUCAUUAGAGGAGAGGAGAGUAGGACAUUUAUAAGGAGUUACCAUAAGAUUUAGUAUUAGAGUUUAGUGGUUAGUCUUGUUUUGUUCUCUCUAACUAGAACUUUUGUGAGAAUAAUUGAAGACUUCAUUGUACAACUCAUUUGUUGGAGAAAUAGAAGAUCAUUGGGAGUUUCUUCACUAAUCUUGGCUAAACUUUCUUUAUCUAUCUCUUACUUGUGAUUCAAUAUGUGUUCAUGUAAUGAAGCAAUGUUCUUUCUAGUGAUAUAUUAUAUGAGUAGCUAAAUUUCUAGAUUUAGGUAGUAGAUGAAUCUUAUGGCUACUUAAUAUGAAGUGAAUAUGAUUUACACUUGUUACACCUUAUAUUAACUUUUUAUUUAUGCAUGCCUAUCACUUAUUUUGCUUGAUCACCAAUAGCAAGCUUAUAGUUGUUAUUAUUCAAUGAAAGUUGGUAAUAAUGAUGGAACAACAUAAAUAAACUUGAGUAGUAUUCUCAUGAGAAUAGAGAUACACUUAAGUAGAUUAACUUGCAUUUCAUGUAGGAAACAAGAGUAGAUCUAGUUAUUCAUCAUGAGAAUAGGGAAAACUAGUUUAUUUUAGCCAUUUUAUCAUGAGAAUGAGAUUUGGUAAUAUUAGAAAUGAAUCCCUAGUUAAACAAGAGUUGUAACAAGAGGUAAAUUUAUUUACUUGUAUCUUUUAUGUCAUAAGUGAAACGUAUAUCUCUAGACUCAAGUAUUUGGUGAAUUUUCUCCAUUGUUACCUUGCAAAUAUCUAGUUAAGACUAGUAGAUAAUAGUAAUUAUAACAUCUUUUGCUUAAAUCGAUCAUUAGUCUAAAUAAUAGAGUAAGUAAGGACCUAGUACUUGCAAAGUUACUCUCUGUGGGAUCGACCCGAUAUUUGCACUGAACUCUAAUUUGACAUGUAUACUUGCAGUCAAAAUGGAUAUAUUUCGGAAUUAAAUUUGUACUUAUAUAAAAAAACCCGUCACUAUCCCAAAUUGAUGGUGUUAUUUAUAGCAUAUGGGGCAGAAAUUGAUUUUAAUUUUUUUUGGGACAAAGGUGUACAAAAUCAUAUGUUGUAUGCUAUGUUUUCAGACUGGACCAGGAAUCGAGUCGACAGAGUUGAGGGGUUAAGGGUCAAUGGAAUCGAUAGAAGGUUGAAUCGGAUGGCAUCAUAAAUACGUCAUAUAUAUAUUAAUAAUAUAUAAACAAAAUAAUAUAUAAAAUUUAUCAUUAAAUUGGUGGCUUACAACUUCAUUUACAAAUUUGAUAAGUUUACAUUUAGUCCAAAAGGAUUCAAUUUAAAAAAAAUUUAAAAUUAUAGCUAAAAAUGUGACUUGGAAAAUAUAUUAGGUUAUUCUACACUUUGUUAAAAUAAUGAAGGGCCAAAAUGCAUUUAACAUAAGCUUUUAGGGUAUUCAUCAAUGCUGACAAAUAUCAAACCUAAUCCAUCUUCUUCCUUAUUCUUUGCGACCAUCAAUUCCUCUCUCUCUCUCUCUCUCAAUCUUCAUUUUUUCUUCUUCUUUUUCUACACUUGAACUCUAUUUUUUUCCUUUCAUCACACACAAUAAACAAACAUGAUAACUUUCUCUUUUCUUCAUUUUUCCUUUUCCCCUCUCUCUCUUCUCUAUUCUUUUUUCUAUUUUUCCUAUUUAAUAUGAAAUCUUUCAAAAACUUAAAGAAUUUGGAGAAUGGAAUUUUUCUCUUAAUUUGGGUUCUUAAUGAAACAUUUCAGAUUCAAUAAAAAAACAAUUCACCUAAGCCAUGAAUUGAUCUCAUAUUCAAGCAAAGAAGAAGGGAUCUCCUCCUUUUCCUUCAUGUUCUAUAAAUGACAGAGAGUUGAGAAGAAAAGAUGUGUGUCCAUGGCAUAAAUCAUGCUACAAUCUCCAAGUGAAUUGCUUGACAUUCACCAUUUCAUUUGGAUUUUUCAGUUGUUGGAAAAUUGCAGAGGCAUGAACUCUCUACAUGGUCAAAUUGUCAAAGGAAAAAAAAAACCAUCAAGAUAGAAAAUUGAAAAAUGAGAAUACCGUUGAAUCAGAGUCACGGCCCUCACGGGCACUCUGUAGUGGAUUUUGACUCCAUUGAUCGACACUUCCUUAAGACACGUAUUCUUUUCUUACAUUUCCUUAGUGCCCCUAGUCCCCACCACCACCCGCUUUCCUCCAUUUCUAAAACUUGGGUUCUAGCCAGUUUCGCUGAUUUUCGAUCAAAUAGGGUUUUGCCGAGUUUGACUGAAUUUUUGACAACCGACUUUUAAGGAAGACUCAGACCAGAUAUUUGACUGAUUCUCGAUUCGAUCAUUGUUUCUGUUGGAACCCAUGGUUGGACUGGAAAUGCUGCAUCUGCACCAUGUGAUUUUUUAAAACGAAAAAUAUACAGAAAUUUAAAGUUUAUAGUGUACAAAAGUGAAAAAAAAUUAAUCCUAAGCAUAUUUGUUUCAUUUCAAAUAUAACUUGAAUUUGCUUGUAUAUUUUAACCUAUUGCUAAUUCCUUCGGUCCGUACUUGAAACUUAAACUUGAAGCUGAUUCAUUACCAUUUUUCUAGUUGUCCAUGUUGCAAUUAAUGCAACAACAUUACAUUAAAUUAGUAUGUGCAGUAAGAUUCAUUGUAGCUUUCCACAAGUUAGUAUCUUUUUUAUUUUCCACUAGUAUAUGAACUUGUAGGAUGUACCUUUAAAUGAGAUUGCCUCUUUGUUUCAAAAAAAAAAAAAAAAAGAAAAAAAGGGGGAGAGAGAGAGAGAGAGAGAGAGAAAUUGCUUGUCUCUGAGCUCAUGAAGUUGAAGAUAACCCUUAAAGCCACUAUCAAAAAUUUAAUAACAUGGCAUAUUAACAUUGAAGAUUUGCAGCUGAGGUGCCAAACUAAGCGUAGCAUUUCAUAAGGAUUGUUGCCAGUUGAACUCAUGAAUGUUACUUCAAAUUUUGACCUGUAACUUUUUUACGUGUGUUCCUUUAGUAAUAGAAAAAACUUAACAAGACGUAGAUAAAUUGAAAUGAAUUCUAUGAUAGAGAUGGUUCCCAAGCAGACAAAUAAUUGAUAAUUGAAGAAUUACUAUCCAGGUUCUUUUCAUUAUUUCACUCCUAUUAAUUGUCAAGAUUUCACUCAGUCAAAUAGGCACAUACUAGCAGGUUAUUGUAAUCAUAUUGAUUAGCAUUACAUUAUGUCCUGUUAUUAAUUGUGUCAAAUUCGAGAUGAGAAAUUAAUAGAUAUUGUAUCUAAGACAAAAAAAAAAAGAAAAAAAGAAAGUGAUGCUUUAUGAAACUUUCUAAUUGCAUUGUUCUUGUUAUUCCAAGGCAUGCAACUCCAACCAUAGAGCUAGGUAAUUCAAAAAAAAUUCUAUGGCAUCAAAUAAUUGUUAGUUUCAAUACAUACACAUAAAAACUUCUAUUACAUCACUAGGUACUUAAUUAUUAUUAGUAAAUAGUAACUAUAAAAGCAACAGGACAAAUUAAAAGCAUGAUAACAGCUAACAGGCGUGGAUCAACAAGCUUGGUUUGCACCGACAUGGUGAAAAAACUACUCAUAACCAUAGAAAGUAGAAAUGAAUUUUGCCAAAUUCUAGUUAUAUGUCUAACAUUUCAAAUGCAAUCUUGCAUGUUGAUUUAUGUGCAUGUUGUACAUGCAUGUACAACCAAUCACUUUGACAGACACGAAGGUUCCAUAUCUUGCAGGUUAAUAACUUGGGUAGAGUGUGGUAUAUUAGAAUGAAGAGAUAGAAUUCAACUAUGCAUUUUAUUGUAAGGACUUCAAAAUCAAUGAAUAUCGAAGCUAGGAUAUUGGCCUUUCCAAUAUCUGCAUGAUUAAUUACCAGUCAUGUGAAAAAAUCCCAACUGAUCUAGCCAUUGGCAGUGCAAGCUGUGCAGAGCCAAUGACCAGCGACAACAAUCCGAGAAAAUUCUCUAAGUCCUUUAAUCUGCAUUGAAACCCGCAAAAUGGUUAUGAAGUUAGAGAAAGAACUUUUUGGAAUACUCUAUAAUUUUUAUUUCACUGAUUGAUCUUGUUUAACCUUCUCUCUUUUUUCCUUUUGUUGUUCCUUCUUUUGCAGAACAGGACGCUUGGUUGAGUGUAGAUACUUAGAUCCUCUGUCAACUUGUGCGAGGUUGGGUAGGGUAUGCAUAAAAUCAAUCUGAUGAAUCUAGGAAUCCUGUGAUAUCUAUAUGCUGCAUCAGAUACAAGAGGAACUUGUAGGAAGCACCCUUUCAUUAGAUUAUUCUGUCUCUGAGCUUAUUGAUUGAAGAUGGCCCAUAUAGCCCCAAACAGAGGCUGUCAAAAAUUUAAUAACAGGAAUGGCCAAAGUUAAUUUGGCAGCUUCAAGGCAUGACUGUGAAAAUGUGAAACACGGCAUAUUUGCACUCAAGAUUUGCAGUUUAGGUGCCAAACUACGUAGGAUUUUAUAUAAAUUGUUGCCAGUAGAAAUCGUGAUGUUACUUCAUGGCCUGUGUACUUUUUACAUAUCUGCCUUCAUUAUGUCCUGUUGGUGUUUUCUUCAAUUUCAUGAUGAGCAAUUAACAGAUAUUGUAGCUAAGAAAACAAAAAGAAAAAGAAAAAUUGACGCUUUAUGGAACUUUCUAAUUGCAAUGUUCUUGUUAAUCCAAGGCAUGCAACUCCAAAUACAGAUGUAGUUUAAAAUGAAUAGGACUAAUACAGACCAAAAUGAAAGAUGAUAAGCAGCAAAGGAAGGAAGAAGGGUGAUUGAAUUAUUUUGAGUAUCAAAGCCAUUUCAGCCAAUUCUUUUCCUUUCAAGCCACAGGAGAAACAUUUUUUGCAACUCAUCCCUUGUAAUGAAGAGCCUCAUUGAUGAACUUGUCAAAAUUAAUGUAAGAUGAUCCCCCUACUUCAGUUGCUUCGUCAGCUUUCUUCUUCCAUUCUUUAGCUUUGAACCUCAUUUUUUCCCCUUCCUCUCCCACAAUCAUUUUGCGUAUAAGUUCUGCAACUUCAUCGCGCUUCACAUCAUGAUUUAUUUCCAUUCCAAUUCCCCAUUUCUCACAAGAGUAAUGACAAUUAGUUUGCUGAUCAGCAAAGAAAGGCCAACAGAUGACAGGCACACCAGCACAAAUAGUUUCCAUCAUAGAAUUCCAUCCACAGUGUGUCAAAAAUGCGCUAACAGCUGAAUGCUCCAAUACUUUCUCCUGUGCACACCAGCUUGUUAAGAACCCUCUAUCCUGAAUCUCUUCCAGGAAAUCUUCAGGCAGCACUGCUGAUUCUCCUCCCUGCACUACAUCAGGCCGCACAAUCCACAAGAACUGUUGCCUGCUGUUGGCAAGUCCCCAAGCAAAUUCUCUGAAAUGAUGGUCAGUCAUGGUUGUUACACUUCCAUAAUUAACAUAAACAACUGAAUUUGGUGCUCUUUGAUCUAGCCACUCGAAAACUUUCGAGUCAGGCUUCCAUAAACUUGAAUUCAGGGAAUUGACUUGGCUUUUGGAAACAAUGUGCCUGGCUAAUAACUGUAGAGGGCCUAUAGUAUAAAUAUUUGGGAAAUUGAACUUCGAAAUGACUGCCUCCAAUGCUUCUGUUUCAAAUUCAUCGAAGGCAUUGAAGAUUAUUGAUGAAGCUUUGAGACAACUCUGUGCUUCCUCUCCCAUGAAAUCAAACAUAAUGUCAUUGGGAUCUGUUGUUCUUAAAAAGCUUGGAAGGUCCCUGAAUUUUACAUUGCUCAUGCCACAAAUCCAAUCAACAGGCUUAUCAAGAGUACCAUCUGUAAGGUAAUCGUCAUCUGGAUAGAAAAAUGAAAAAAGGUUUUUCAAGAUUGAGGAACAACUAUGAAGAUUGUCAAGCAAUCAAAUCAAAAUUCAGACAUUUGAACAACCAUCCUUAUCAAGUUUUAUUCCUUUUAGUAUCUGUGUUUAAGAAAAUUCAUAUAGGAUUAUCUACCAAGGUUGUUGACACGUUAAUCAAAAUGGUAAAAGAAAGAAGAAAAAUUAGAAAGACUGCUUCUUUUGUUUACGACAGCUACUAUGUAUGAUCAGUUUUGCUAUCAACAACUUAUCACUGUACAUGUAUACUUGCUCAUGUGGAAGCCCAUCUCAGUAGAUCCAAUUGAAGGAGUUACUUAACAUAUUGCAAUCCUAUCUUUCUUUUUGUGAUAAUUUCAGAAACCUUCUUUAAAGUUUUUCGUAAUAUUACUUAGCAUUAGUGGUGGAGUCAGGACUUAUAAUCAUUGGGCACGUACUAUAUUCCUAAAUUGAUAUUAUUGUUAUGUGAAAAAAGUAGUUUACAUUAAGAUUGUAUUUUAUCUUGAAUUUUCAAGUUUUAAGCUUCUAACAUUAUUUCUUUUCCAUAUCAUUCAAUUUUGUACGUUAAUAGCUUCAAAACAAUUUCACCGACAGAGAGAUAUCUAGAAGAAAAUACUAAUAUUUUGUAGGGGGUAAUGUUUGGGGAGAUUGGGAUUUUUCAAGGGCAAUGUAAAGCAAAAAUUGUAUUUUCCAAAAUUUAGGGGUUACAAUUAUAAUAAAAAAACUAAAAAACUUUCAAACCUUUCAAGCCUACUAUUUAAUUUUUACAAAAUUGAGUGACGACGUUGCCCAUCCUUCAUUACAGGGUGGCUCUGUCAUUGCUUAUCAUCCAUGAGAUUUUCAAAAUAUUCCUUACCUCAUCAGUUUGAUAUGACUAGAUAUUUCAUUAAAUGCCAUCAACUCACUUGCACUAUUAAUAACUACUGUUUUACAAAAAAAAAAAUCCAAAAGGAAGAAAAAAUUUUAAUCAAAAAAAAUUAUGGACAAAAGAUAACCAAAUUGACAUUCCAAAUUGGUUUGUAUUUCUCUGUGUGUCCAACUGGUACUUGAGUUUAGUCUAUAGUUGGUCACUUGAAGAAUUUUAGUAAAUAAUUAACACCUUGGAGAAUUUUAUCAGCCGAAUUUGUAGAAAGCAAGCAAAUUUUUUUUAGAAAGUGCGUUCUAAUAAAUGAUGUUAUGUAAGUUGCAUUUAAAAGUAAAUUAAUAUUUUCAUACGUUUGGUAUAUGCAUGUAAACUCCACUUAUAAAAAAAAUUAUUGAAAAUAUUAGUUUAAGAAUUGUUUUGUAACCAAAUAUUUAGAAACAUUCUAUGCUGUUUCUUGUCUUUUUUUUUUUUUUUGGAAGGGGUGAGAGGGGUCAAAACCUACUACUUAUUUUGUUUUUACAUUUAUAAGCUCUCAUAUUUUUACAUUAACCUUUUAGCCUUAUUUUAAUUUUUAUUUCUAUUGUAAGCUUCUCAAUUAAUAGGAUAAAUAAAGGUAAGAGUGAAUCUAAAAUAUCAUCUCUCUUGUGAUAUGCAGUUUUUUAAUGUUGAUUUCUCCCAAGAAGGCUAAUACGUUAUAAAAAAUUUUAAUUCAAGAAAGGUAGGUGAGAAUGUGAGAUACCUCUAUCGUUUGAAAAAGUGCGUUUGGAUUGAGUGUUUUUGCAUCUGUUUUUGAAAAACUAUUUUUCACAUUUCAAAUGCUACAGUAAUGUGUAUUUCAAAAACAAAUUCAAAAACACCAUAUCCAAACAAUAUAUCAAAAACAACUCCAAAUAUAUUUCAAUUAUGUAUAUUUAAUUUGUAUAUUUUAAUAAGUAUAUUCCAAUUUGUAUAUUUUAAUUAUGUAUUUUAAUAUGUAUAUUUCAAUUAUAUUUUAAUAUAUUUUAAUAUGUAUAUUUCAAUUAUGUAUUUUAAUAUGUAUAUUUCAAUUAUGUAUAUUAUAUAUAUAUAUAUUAUAUUAAUAUAAAUAUAUUUAUUUCAAUUAUGUUUAAUAUUAUAUAUAUAUCAAUUGAAAUAAAUAUUAUAUAUUUAUAUAAACACAUUUAUUUAUAUAUAAAUUUAUAAAUUAUUUAUUCAAUUUUGUUUUAUAAUAUAUAUUAAUAUGUAUAUUUCAAUUAUGUAUAUUAUACAUAAAUUAUAUUAAUAAUAAUGUAUAUUAUAUAUAUUAUACAUUUCUAAUAUUAUAUAUUUAUACAUACAUAUUAUAAAUAUUUUAUUUUAUUUAUAAUAUACUUUUAUAUAUUUAUAAUAUAUUUACAUAAAUAUUAUAUGUUAUAAAAUUAUUAUAAUAUAAUGUAUAAUAUAUUAUACAUUUAUAUAAAUGUACAUUUACACAUAAUAUAUAAAUAUUUAUGUAUAUUUAUAAUAUACAUUUAUAUUAUGUAUAAUAUAUAAUAUAAUACAUUUAUAUUAAUAUACAAAAUAUUAAUUUUACAUUUAUACAUAAUAUAUAAUACAUAAUAUAAAUAUAUUUAUAAAUGUAUAAGUGUAUAUUAUUAUAAAUGUAUAAAUUAUAAAUGAAUAUUAUAAAUAUAUUAUAAAUUAUAAGUGUAUAUUACUAAAAAUGUAUAAAUUAUAAAUGAAUAUUAUAAAUGUAUAAAUUAUAUAUUAAUACAUGUAUACAUUUAUAUUAAUUAUAUUAAUACAUUUCUACAUAAUAUUAAUAUAUAUUUAUAAUUUAUUAAUUUAUACAUUUAUAUAAUAUUCAUUUAUAAUUUAUACAUUUUUAAUAAUAUACACUUAUACAUUUAAAUAUAUAUUUAUAUUGUGUAUUAUAUAUAUUAAUACAUUUAUACAUUUAUAUUAAUAUACAUAAUAUUAAUUUUACAUUUAUACAUAAUAUCAAUACAUAUAUACAUUUAUAUUAAUUAUAUAAAUACAUUUCUACAUAAUAUUAAUAUAUAUUUAUAAUAUAUUAAUUUAUACAUUUAUAAUAAUAUACACUUAUACAUUUAUAAAUAUAUUUAUAUUAUGUAUUAUAUAUAAUAUAAUACAUUUAUAUAUUUUUAUAUGAAUAUAUAAAUAUAUUAUUUAUAAAUAUCUACAAAUGUAUUAUAAAUGCAUAAAUGCAUAUUUAUAUAAAAAUAUAAAAUUUAUAAUUUAUAAUUUAUAAUUUAUACAUUUAUAUAAUAUUCAUUUAUAAUUUAUUCAUUUAUAAUAAUAUACAUCUAUACAUUUGUAAAUAUAAAUGGAUUAUAAAUGCAUAAAUGUAUAUUUAUAUAAAAAUAUAAAAUUAUAAUAUUCUAAAAAUACUCAAAAAUAUGUUUCAAAAAUACCUCUAAAAAUAAUCCAAAAAAAUCUACAUUAAAAGUUUUUCAUAUAAUUUUUGAAAAACAACCCUAAAAACAACUAAUCCAAACGGACUUGUUUUUCAAAUUUAAAAAUGCUACAAUGGUAUUUUUGAAAAACAAACCCAAAAAUAGCUAAUCCAAAUGGAGCCAAAGGCAGGUGAGAUAUUGAAAAUCCUGGCCGUGACUUGCUAGCCUCCUCGUCUCUCCUUUUCUAUUGCAAGAUUUGGAGUCUCUUAAUAAAAUAAAAUUAAACAGAACCCUUCAUCAUGCAACAGCAUCGCCCUGUCACACGCCUAGACAAAAUUUUCUCCUCGAAACUCGAAAAUAUGCUCCAUUCCCAUCAGUCCCAGUCCUUGGUCCGACCCAAACAACUUCUAUAAUGUUUUCUAAUAUGUCCAAGCAACAGAAUAUAUCAGCCAAGUAAGUAUUAUUUGUGUGUGUGUGUUCUAUUCCGAUUCCGGAAAAAAAAAAGUAAGUAUUACGUAUGUUAGUUUUGUAUGUAUCUUAAAAAUGUAGAUGUUAUUUAAUGAAACGGUAAAAUAAAAUUUUAUAACAUGACUAAUGCAUAUUUGAACAAAAAAAAAAAAGAAAUUAAUGCAUAUAACAUUAACAGAAUUUUCUAACAGAUGCAACCGGUCAGUACACCUAGAAUAUAUUUAAAUUAUACCUAAUGUGUUAGGUGAAUGCACAUAUUUAUAUUUAUUGUAUCCCUAUAAUUGACUAUUAUUUUCAAAUUAACUUGCAAGAAAUAAACACCACCUCUUUUAUCGACUAUUCACUCAUUGACUAAACACAUGUUAACGAGUUUAGUCGGAUUUGAGUUCUAAUAUGAUAAAAAUAACAAUAUUCCUACUCGAUCAAUUAUUUUUUUUGUAAGUAUAUUCGGUCAAUUUUAUUAGAAUGUUUAAGCGGAUAAUUCAGGGCUGAAUUUGGGUAAUCAAAAUUAAACAUCUUCAAACCCAAGUCAAAACGGAUCACAUCCGGGUCAAGACUUGAGCCAUGGUCACCUUACUUUUCAACACUCUCAUAAUUUCUAAGACAGUGCAAAAAUAAAAAUAAUAUGAUAAAAGGAAGAGAUCCUAAAAUUGCUCAGCCAUACCAAUUAAGUUGGGACGUCGAAGUCAGUGACACACCAGGUCUCAUAAGACAAGAGAAAAAGACAUGGUAAAGAAAGAAGUUUAUAGAACUUACUUUUGAAUGGAAAAAUCCCUCUCCUGAUGAGCUCUCUGUAGUGCAAAUAUCCAAUGAAAGAGCAAGCAGAAGCAGUCCAGAAUUGAACUUCAGGGAUGCCCAAAUCUUCAGCAGCUUUGAUAGCGAAGCUCAUGACACCAUCAGAAAUGACGCAGCUAACAGGAGGCACUUCAGAAGACGAGUUCAGCUUAAUCAACAGCUCCUUAAAAGGAACCAAACAAUUUUUUCUGACAGAAUCACAGAGCUGAGGCACGUCUUGAGUGGCAUCUUUAUCUGACGGUGGCAUCCCAUCAGGGAUAGUCUCAAACCUGAAAUCAUCGAACCCUUUAACUGACUCUGGCCCUUUCGAUCGGAUCAAACGUUUGUGAUUAAAUUCAGUGUUGACCAAGGUUAUAUGGAACCUUUUUGCGUGCAAAAGCUUGGCAAGUCUCAUUAAUGGGGUAACAUGGCCUUGAGCUGGAAAUGGAACCAAGACUGCAUGGGGUUUUCUGUGGUUUCUACAGAAUCCAUUUCCUGCGUAGAUGACAGUUAAUAGAUGGGAGCAGAAUGUACUAGUCCCAAAUUGAUGGCCAUUUAUAGCAGCAUAUGGGCAGAAAUUGAUUUUUCUUUUUUUUUGGGGGCCACAAAGAUAUACAAUAUCAUAUGUUGUAUGUAAUAUGCACCAUUUCUUUAUCACAAUGAACCAGAUGCACAAAGCGACAAAAUAUAAAUAGAAAACAUCCUUUCAUAGGUCCCAUGCAUCCCGUUGAAUGAAGUAAUCAUACAUUUUUAAAAGGGUUAAUUACCCCUUGAAUGUAGGAAUUAUUUGUAUGUUUUCCUUGAAUAAAAAACGAUAGGCACCACUUGUUACCUUUGGAAAAGGAUUCCUUCAAAUAAUUCUUUUCAAUGGAAUAGCUGAAAGGACAAAAUAUCCCUUCAUAAUUUCAUUUUGCACCCUUUAAUUAUGCUUUAUUCUUUACUAUUGAUCCAUGAACUUUAGUUUGAAACACGUUGCUCUUAAAUUCUUAAUCUCAUCUCAUUUUAAUCCAAUAAACAAUGGAGCAGGCAAAACUAAUGGAUCAGUUACUACUGUCAAUUACCUUACGAAUAAAAUUAGAAUAUUUUGUUAAUGAAGGGUGCAACUAUUUCAGCAGUUUUGUAUAUUUUGUUAACAAUUGGACUAAAUUAGGACAAGUUUAAAACUUUAGGGACCAAAAUAUACUAAACUUUAGUUCAUGGAUCAAAGUGAAAAUUUUUGUAUAUUUCAAGGGAAUAAAAUGCAAUCAGCCUUAAGUUUUCCUAACUAAUAUACCACUUUGACAACAAAAUCUAUUUCAUUAUUAUGUUGGAACCCAUGGUUGGACUGGAAAUGCUGCAUCUGUGCCUUGUGAUUUUUGAAAAAAAAAUCAUACAGAAAUUUAAAGGUUAUAGUGUACAAAAGUGAAAAAAAAAAUUAAUCCUAAGCAUAUUUGUUUCAUUUGAAAUAUAACUUGAAUUUGCUUGUAUAUUUUAACCUAUUACUAAUUCCUUCAGUCCGUACUUGAAACUCAAACUUGAAGCUGAUUCAUUGCCAUUUUUCUAGAUGUCCAUGUUGCAAUUAAUGCAACAAGGUUACAUUAAAUUAGUAUGUGCAGUAAGAUUCAUUGCAGCUUUCCACAAUUUAGUAUCUUUUUUAUUUCCACUAGUAUAUGAACUUGUAGGACGUACCCUUAAAUCAGAUUGCCUCUUUGUUUAAAAAAAAAAAAAGAGAGAGAGAGAGAUAAGAGAUUGCCUCCGUCUCUGUGAAGUUGAAGACAAAGCCACAAUCAGGGCUGUCAAAAAUUUAAUAACAUGGCAUAUUCACAUUGAAGAUUUGCGGCUGAGGUGCCAAACUAAGCGUGGCAUUUCACAAGGAUUGUUGCCAGUUGAAAUCAUGACGUUACUUCAAAUCUUGACUGUCAACUUUUUUACGUGUCUUCCUUUGCUAAUAGAAAAAACUUAACAAGACGUAGAUGAAUUGAAAUGAAUUCUAUAUAGAGAUGGUUCCCAAGCAGACAAGUAAUUGAUAAUUUACUUGACCUGUCAACUUUUUUACGUGUCUUCCUUUGCUAAUAGAAAAAACUUAACCAGACGUAGAUGAAUUGAAAUGAAUUCUAUGAUAGAGAUGGUUCCCAAGCAGGCAAGUAAUUGAUAAUUUAAGCAAUUGCUAUUCAGGUUCUUUUCAUUGUUCCACUCACAUUAAUUCUCAAGAUUCCACUCAGUCAAAUAGGCACAUACUCGCAGGUUAUUGUAAUCAUAUUGAUUAGGAUUAUACAUUAUGUCCUGUUAUUAGUUGUGUCAAAUUCGAGAUAAUAGAUAUUGUAUCUAAGACAAAAAAAAAAAAAGAAAGUGAUGCUUUAUGAAACUUUCUAAUUGCAUUGUUCUUUUUAUUCCAAGGCAUGCAAGCAACUCCAACCAUAGAGCUUAGAUAAUUCAAAACAAAAUGACUAAUAUAAUCCAUUUUCUUUUUAGCCACAGGAGAAACAUUUUGUGCGGCGCAUCCGUUGUAAUGAAGAGCCUCAAUGAUAAACUUGUCAAAGUUAAUGUAAGAUGACCCCCAACUUCAGUAGCUUCCUCAGCUUUCUUCUUCAUUCUUUAGCCUUAAACCUCAUUUCCCCCUUCCUCUCCUAUAAUCAUUUGCGUACAAGUUCUGCAACUUCGUUCCGCUUCACAUCAUGAUUUAUUUCCAUCCCAAUUCCCCAUUUCUUGCAAAGUAAUGACAGUUAGUCUGCUGAUCGCCGAAGAAAGGCCAGCAGAUGAGAGGCACACCAGCAGAAAUACUUUCUAAUGUAGAAUUCCAUCCACAGUGAGUCAAAAUGCACCAACAGCUGGAUGCUCCAACACUUUGUCCUGUGCACACCAGCUCGUCAACAACCCUCUGUCCUGAAUCUCUUCCAGGAAAUCUUCAGGCAACAUUGCUGAUUCUCUCCCUGAACGACAUCAGGCCGAACAAUCCACAAAAACUGUUGCUGGCUAUUUGCAAGUCCCCAAGCAAAUUCUUUGAAGUGAUGGUCAGUCAUGGUUGUUAUACUUCCAUAAUUAACAUAAAAAACUGAGUUUGGUGCUCUUUGAUCUAGCCACUCGAAAACUUUCGAGUCAGGCUUCCAUAAACUUGAAUUCAGGGAAUUGACUUGGCUUUCGGUAACAAUGUGCCUGGCUAAUAUAUGUAGAGGCCUAUUGUGUAAAUAUUUGGGAAAUCAAACUUGGAAAUGACUGCUUCUAAAGCUUCCCUUUCAAGUUCAUCGAAGGUAUUGAAGAUUAUCGCUGGAGCUUUUAGACAACUCUGUGCCACCUCUCCAAGGAAAUCAAACAUAAUAUCGUUGGGAUCAGUUGUUCUGAAAAAGCUUGGAAGGUCCUGAAUUUUAUGUUGCUCAUGCCACAAAUCCAAUCAACUGGCUUAUCAAGAGUACCAUCUGUGAGGUAAUCGUCAUCUGGACAAAGAGAAAAAACGGUCUUUCAAGUUCGAUGAAUAAUUAUAUCAAGACUAACAAGGAAGGGACUUCAUAAUUUGGACAUGUGAAUCCAAUUUUUUAUUUUUUUUAAGUUUCAAUAACUACUAAUAGAGUAAUAACAGAAAUAACAGUUAUAUAUCAGAAAAAAGAUUGUAAUCGUUUCUUACAUAUACCUACAUACAUACAUAUACUACUCCAUUAGUAGCCAUUGGAAUGAAGAAAAAAAUAGUGUUAUAUAACUUUAUAAAGGAUACAUAGCUAGGAAGCCAUUUAGAAGGUAAGACAGAAGUGGAAUAGAAUAUUCUCAUUACAUAUUUGAAGCCAAUAAAUGGGUAUAAAACCGAUCGCUUCGGGUGAACACUCGUCUGGACGGCCAAACGUCGGAAAUGGUCCAGCAAUAACGUGGGAAGUGUCCAGAUACAUGUCGAUUUCAUAUUUUAAGCAGGUAUGCAUGUUUCAUCAUUCUCAUGAUCAAGAAAUUACAAGCUAUAAACGAGAUGAUUAAAAAACAGGUUUAAUCAUACCAAUUAAGUUGAGAUGGAACGUUAAAGACAAUAACAAUACAGUCCAGAGACAACAGAACAAACAAAGAAGAAGUUUAUAGUAUGUACUUUGAAUGGAAAAAAUUCCUCUCCUGAUAAGCUCUCUAUAGUGCAAGUAUCCAAAAAGAACAAGCAGAAGCCGUCCAAAAUUGAAACUCAGGAUGCCCAAAUCUUCAGCAGCUUUGAUGCCAAAGCUCAUGCCAGCACAGAAAUCACACAACUAACAGGGCACUUCAGAAGACGAGUUCAGCUUAAUCACAUCUCCUUAAAAUGAGCCAAACAUUUUUUCUGACAGAAUCACAGAGCUGAGGCACGUCUUGAGUGGCAUCUUUAUCUGACGGUGGCAUCCCAUCAGGGAUAGUCUCAAACCUGAAAUCAUCGAACCCUUUAACUGACUCUGGCCCUUUCGAUCGGAUCAAACGUUUGUGGUUAAAUUCAGUGUUGAGCAAGGUUAUAUGGAACCCUUUUGCAUGCAAAAGCUUAGCAAGUCUCAUCAAUGGGGUAACAUGGCCUUGAGUGGAAUGGAAGCAAGACUGCAUGAGGUUUUUCUGUGGUUCUUGUGGUUUCCAGAGAACCAUUUUCUAUGCAAACGAAAGUUGAAGGCGAAGUAUUAUGCAUAAGUCCCUAAUUGGUGGUGCCAUUUAUGGGAUUUGGGGCAGAAAUUGAUUCGGACCAUACACAAAGGUCUACACAAGUCAUACACUAUACUACAAAAUAUAGUACCAAACAUGUUUCAUGGGUCACACACGUCCAAUGCCAAUCAAAGUGAAAAUGUAUAGGAAUCUUUCAUUUUGUAACUGCAAGCAUUUUUUAUAUUAUUUAUUAAUGAUGAAAUGCAAUGCAAUUUGUCCAUUUAUUAGAGAAGUGUAAUUUUGGUAUCAAUAAGACUGAAAACAAGUCUCAACGAGUUGGAUAGAGGUAUGUUCAGGAUUGAUUUGAAAAUUAAAAGGGAUGUUUGAACUUAGUUUGUGUUUGAUAAUUUUUUGAAAGAAAUUGAUCGAGUUUGGUUUGAAAAUUCAGACAUAUGUUCAUGAAAAACUUGACUUGUCAAAAUAUCGAGUUCAAUUACAUACCAUCAAAGUUUGCUUGACUUGAAAUUUCAUUUUGUAUUAUAUGGAGAUUUUCACCCGAAUUUGUUGCCUUUUUCCCGUUAAAUUUUGCUCUAUGAUAUUCAAGAAAUCUAUUACGAUGAAUUAGGGAUGCAAUUAAAGUCAAUUAUGCCUAUCCAAGAAAACUAUUACAAUGAAUUAUGGAUGUAAUCAAAAUCAAUUAUACCUAUUCAAGAGACGAGCAUUAUAUGCUUGCUAUUUUAUAAGAUAAGCAAUAUACGAAAAGGAAAGAAGUGGAGUUAAGAAGGAAAACUUUAGAUGUAUAUUUAUGAAAUUUACUUGCCUUAUAUAUUUCUAAACAUAUCGAGCUAGACAACGUGAAAAUCGUGAUUGUUCAUAUUUUCGAGAUUGAUUAUGUUCAAAUUUGGAUUAAAACCUAAACAAACAAACUUGAACGGGUUUGGUUCGACCGAGUUCAAAUCAAGUACCAAACUAUUUAGUUCAAUUUACGGCCCUAAACAUCACACGGACUAAUCUUAUUUUCUGCUUACACCACUAAAAUUUAUAUUGUUAUUAUUUAUAAAAAAAUUUUGUUCUUCUUUUUUGGAUUUAAUUCACUAUAACUCAAGGGAAUGUUUUUCAUUCUUCUAAUUGUUGGCAUGAUUGAUAUUGAUGGUUGAUCAAAUGCAAUGAAUUGAUUGUUAAUUUUUUUUUGGUUAAAUUACCAGAAUCACUACAAUUCAAGAAAUGAUUCUUUGUUACCAUUUUCAGUCUUAAAUCAUUCUCUUCAAUGGAUUUAUAUGACUCUCCGCAAUUUUUGUUUGUGAUGACUAUUGUCUAAUUUUAUGUUUUAUAUGUAAUUUACAUUUAACUUUUAUGGAAUUCAUUAAAUUCUAAUUCAACACUACUGAGUGGUUGGAUUUCGUUUAAAGCCCACAGAUUUAAAUUCUAAUUCUCUUGUACAGCUUUCCCCAAUCAGUUAUCCCUUUUUCUUCCCUCUAGAGCUUGGAAACAAUCAUUUAGCUUUUCUUUUCCAGUACAAUGUUUUCAAUUAUUUCGGCUUCAAGUUUGUCCAGAUUGUGCUAAAGUAGACAUUCAUGGUCCCACUCAUCAGUACACAACUUUAAGAUAUUUUCAUCAGUAUACUGUAUACCAACUUGCUCACAAGCUGAGCACAUUCUAAAUUUGUUUCUGGAAGAUGAAUUCGUAGGCCAAAUUCUUCAGAUCCAUCUCAAAUCCAAAAAUUCAAUUUGUUUCUUGUGCUGAAUAGAGAAUAUAUGCAAGUAGGGACAAAAUUUUAGCAUAGAAAUACAAAAAAGUUAAUCGAUCUGAGAGAUCGAUCUAUAUGUAGUAGAAAAUUUUUUGGACAUGAUGGCUUCUGCCGCUGGUGCUGGUUCUUCAAGCUUGGAUCACCUUGAUUCUGCACUCAGAGCCAUAAAGUAUCCCUCGGAGAUCCUAUCAAAACUCAGAGAUGAUUGGAGAUUUUUGGGAAAAAUUUGGGAAUCCACUCAUAAGGGGAGUGGUCAUGCUGUGAUAGGAUGCUAAUUGUUAGUAAUUUUAUUGCUAAUUUUCCCUUUUGUCCUUGCCAAAUAUUGUUUUAGUUGUUAAUAUAUACUUAUUUUUGGUAUUUGGACCUCUCUACAGAAAGUGGAACUGACAAAUGCUAAAAAGGAGAUUUUAUUAAGAAAAAUCCUGCACACACUAGAGCCUCUGGUGGAUGUACAAGUUGGGCACGCAUGGUGCUACAAAAACUCCAGUUUCGGGUGCUGAUGGAGAGCUCUUAUUUAUUGGUAGUUGACUUGUACGUGUAGGAGUCCUGCUGGCAAGAGGAAACAAGAAGCAAUGCGGCAGGACCCACCUUGUGGACUUGGUUUCUCUCAAUUCGGCAGUAUUCUUCUUGGACUUUGACUCUUAAUUCGGCGGGAUCCACGCACUAGGAAAGGCAUUAGUCCUCUUUGGCUUUAAAAAGAAGCAGACGUAGAGAGAUCUGGGAAUCAAUAGUUUUUAUCAUUAGUUCUUACUGUUUUUUAGCAUAGUUUAGUUUUAUUCUUUCUUGGUUCCUUUGAUGGCCUGGAUCUCAAUUAAAUUACUUGGAGAUUAUUUUAUGAGGCGUGACUAAGUUUCUUAUCUAGUCGAAAGCCAACUUGAGGACUCGGUUCCGAACAUCUGUGAGAUCUAAUUAUUUUACUUAUUUCUUUUAUUUAUUGGUAUUUGUACGUUUCCUGAUUUAAUUGCCUAUGCUUGUUAUGUUAUUUGAAUGUCAAGGGUCCGAUAUUCGAGUUAACCUAAUAAUCUACUGUCAAAUUAAUUGAUUGAAUCCGUAAUUGUUCAAUUGAUUAAUACCAGUGGCAACUAGCGUGAUUGGUUUCAUGUUAGGGAAACGUAUGAUCUAAGUUAAACAAACCCUCGUAGCGUGUUUGUUGGUUAGGAUUAGGCUUUUCUAAUUAUUAAUGCAAUCGAGUAAUUAAAUCCUAUGGUCGUACCUAGGGUUAUUUCUUGGUUACAGAAAUAGUUAACGGUCGUACCUUAACUAUCGAGAAAUUAAGGAAAGGUUGGUUGUUCAUCGCGUGUAUGACAACUAUAACCAAUCUAGUAAUGAGUAAUUGAAUUAUCUUUGCAUCGAUGAUCAGUUGAAUGGACCGUGUCUGAAAAGUUGCACCUUUGGCUAGACUCAUAUUGGUUAUUGAUUAAUUUCUAUUAGUUGUUUUAUUAGUUAGUUAAUUAGUUAUUUUAUAUUCUCUAAAAAAUCCCCAUACUUUGGACUUUAAAAGAAACGAAUUAUCCCCAAUUCCUGUGGAUUCGACCCUACUCACUGCUAUAUACAAAAUUUGUAUUUUUCUUGAGUAGGUAAUUAUUAUUGCACAGGUUCGACGACCUGUCAAUUUUUGACGCCGUUGCCGGGGAUCUUCACCUAAAGUGUUGAUUUUCGCGCGCAAAAGUUAGUAGUUACUAUGAGUGCGUGGUCUCGUAGCGAUUGGAGCUGAGUAACCGGGCCCCUCCAUCUGUCAAAUGUUGGAAUUCGUGUCAAAAGGCUCUAAGUGCUAUAGACUAAGUCUUUUGUUACUCAAAAAAAAUAAUAAAAAAAAAACAAAAACAAAAAGAAAAGAAAAAAAGAAGUAAAGUAAAGAUUGUGUUAGUAUGUGAAUAAGUCAGCUUGCCGGUUUGUGAUCUUAAUGUCGAGAUUUUGGUUAAUAGUUGGACCAUUUACUGAUAAAUGUGAGCAACCAUUCUUUUUUCUUAAAUUAGUUUGCUUUAAAUUGGAGGAGUUGGUGGUUGGGAAGCUAACCGGGGUGAUUUUUCUUGGAUUUUGACCUGUGACGCUUGAUAUUUGUUUUUUUUGGGUAUCUUGGCAAUACGGUAGUUGGAGUACUAGCCAUUGUCAAAUUUUUGGUGUUCAAUUGCUGUUCCCAUGCUUGAGGACAAGCAUGAUUUAGGUGUGGGGGGAAUUGAUAGGGUGCUAAUUGUUAGUAAUUUUAUUGCUAGUUUUUCCUUUUGUCAUUGUCAAAUAUUGUUUUAGUUGUUAAUAUAUACUUAUUUUUGGUAUUUGGACCUAUCUACAGGAAGUGGAACUGACAAAUGCUAAAAAGGAGAUUUUAUUAAGAAAAAUCCUGCACACCCUAGAGCCUCCGGUGGAUAUACAAGUUGGGCCCGCAUGGUGCUACAAAAACUCCAGUUUCGGGUGCUAAUGGAGAGCUCUUAUUUAUUGGUAGUUGACUUGUACGUGUAGGAGUCCUACUGGCAAGAGGAAACAAGAAGCAAUGCGGCAGGACCCACCUUGUGGACUUGGUUUCUCUCAAUUCGGCAAAGUUUCCUUCUUGGACUUUGACUCUUAAUUCGGCGGGAUCCACGCACUAGGAGAGGCAUUAGCCCUCUUUGGCUUUAAAAAGAAGCAGACGUAGAGAGAUCUGGGAAUCAAUAGUUUUUAUCAUUAGUUCUUACUGUUUUUUAGCAUAGUUUAGUUUUAUUCUUUCUUGGUUCCUUUGAUGGCUUGGAUCUCAGUUAAAUUACUUGGAGAUUUUCUCAUGAAGCGUGACUAAGUUUCUCAUCUAGUCGAAGGCCAACUUGAGGACUCGGUUCCGAACAUCUGUGAGAUCUAAUUAUUUUACUUAUUUCUUUUAUUUAUUGGUAUUUGUACGUUUCCUGAUUUAAUUGCCUAUGUUUGUUAUGUUAUUUGAAUGUCAAGGGCCCGAUAUUCGAGUUAACCUAAUAAUCUACUGUCAAAUUAAUUGAUUGAAUCCGUAAUUGAUUAAUACCAGUGGCGACUAGCGUGAUUGGUUUCAUGUUAGGGAAACGCAUGAUCUAAGUUAAACAAACCCUCGUAACGUGUUUGUUGGUUAGAAUUGGACUUUUAUAAUUAUUAAUGCAGUAAUUAAAUCCUAUGGUCGUACCUAGGAUUAUUUCUUGGUUAGAGAAAUAGUUAACGAUCAUACCUUAACUAUCGAGAAAUUAAGAAAAGGCUGGUUGUUCAUCGCGUGUAUGACAAUUAUAACCAAUCUAGUAAUGAAUAAUUGAAUUAUCUUUGCAUCGAUGAUCAGUUGAAUGGACCGUGUCUGAAAAGUUGCACUUUGGCUAGAGUCAUAUUGGUUAUUGAUUAAUUUCUAUUUAUUUCUAUUAGUUGUUUUAUUAGUUAGUUAAUUAGUUAUUUUAUAUUCUCCAAAAAACCCCCCAUACUUUGGACUUUAAAAUAAACGAAUUAUCCCCAAUCCCUGUGGAUUCGAUCCUGCUCACUACUAUAUACAAAUUUUAUAUUUUUCUUGAAUAGAUAAUUAUUAUUGCACAGGUUCAACGACCUGUCAUGCUGCUACAGAUGAGGAGAAGAAUAUGGCCUUCUACCUCAAAGAUUGAAGCUACGGCUGAGGAGAUUGCCCAGGAACUUAUUCGUUUUCGUGAAGAAAUGAUUGUGAAUGAUGACCAGGUAAAAGAUGAAGAAUUACUCAACGAACUAGCCCUUGAUUGUGCAACAAAAAACCAAGCUCAUUCCGAUUCCAACUCCCCAAUCGCUUAGACUAUGGGUUUCCAUCUCAACUUGCUUAUGGCUCUCUGCUGUGCUGAGGUGGUUGCGAUUAAGGAUUUGGUGGGGAGUUUUUCCUGCCGUGUCUUCUCUGGUAAAGAUGGACAUUUUCGAGAUGAGGUGUUUUUCCUAUUAAAACUUUUUUUUUUCUACACCACUCUCUGUACUAGAUGUUGAGGAUUGAGGGCGGACGCGGGACUGGAGCGGUUGUCAGAACAACCGCUCCGGAAGGUGUAACACCAUUUGUACAUAGUGUAACAUCAUCUGUACAAAGUGUAACAAUUGAACAACAGCAAGUAAAAUAGAACAACAUUUUUGUGGGUUUCACACGGCGUGAAAAUCGAGUUACAACACGUGAUUUGAGCCGCACAAAUUUUUGAGGCCUCAUCCAGGCCGUGACUGACAACCGUCACAGGCCCCUCGUCCAUUGAGGGCACAACACCAAGCUUCAUUCCAGAAACUCGUGCUCCAUUUGGAUUAGUAUUUUUUAAGAUAUUUUUAAAAGAUUUUAUUAUAUAAAUAUAUAUAAAAAAAUUUUAUUACAAAAAAUUUUAAAAUUAAUAAUUUAAUGUAUUAUAUAAAUGAGAUAUUUUUUAAAAUUAUUAUAAUCCAAAUAGACUCCGCUGCUUGUUUCACAGCUUAUGCCUUCCCCGUGUAGUCACCCACUCCUUUAGAAAUGUCCACGUCCAUUAGAAACGUCAAACACGCGUAGAAAAGGGCCACGUUUUCAUCCAUUAUUGACGUACACGGCACACGGUAUACCGCCUUUGCUUCGCUCUUUUUUUUUUUUUUUUUCUUACGCAGUGGAUGUUGGAGAUUCGACGCGUUAUAUUCUGUGUUUUCAAACUCGGACCGGACCGGCCGGUUCGAUCGAUUGAAUCGAGAACCGAUUAAGUGUCCGGUCCGAGUUGGUCAUCAGAACCGAAAGAUUCAAGACCCGGUCAACUCCGGUCAAAAAUCGGGUUUGACCGGUACAAAACCGGAAAAACCGGUCCAACAGGAGUUUUUGUAUAAAAAGUUCAAAUUUUUUAAUAUUAUGUUUUGGCCCCCUAAAUUGUGAAAAUUUAUUAAUAUAUCUCAAAUAUUUCAUACUUUAUAAAUAUUGUCCUAAAAUUUGAUGUUAUUUUUCAAUUAAAUCCAUAAUUUUAAUUCUAAACUUGUUAAUGUUUAUUAAAUAAUAUAAAUUGUUAUUUGAUUGUUCUAAUUUCUUUGUAUUUUCUUGUUAAAUAUAUUUGAAACAUCAAAUAUAUAUGAUAUACCUUUAUUAAUAUCAAUAUGUUAUUGGAUAUUUUAUAUACAAUAAUUUAAUUUUUAAAUAAUUUUUAUUUAUGACGUCAUCCGGUUCGACCCCUAUCGACCCCCGGUCGAACCCAUUGACCCCUGACCCCUGAUCUCGAUCGAGUCGAUAUCCGAUCCGGUUCUGAAAACAUAGGUUAUAUUUCGGGUUCGACUAUUUUCACUGUACCUGUGACCCGUCUUUUUUUUUUUUUUUCCUGAUGCAGUGAAUAUUCAAGAUUCGUCGGAUUAUAUUUCGGACUCGACUAUUUUCACUGUACUUGUGCCCCGUCUCCAAGAGACACAAGAUGAUAACAGGAUUAGAAUCGCGACCACACAAUACCAGGAUAUAAGGCCCGGCCAAACCCGGGGCUUUUACCGCCUUUGGUUUGCGUCCUUUAUUUAUUUGUCAAAGCCCUCGCACCUUUUCCCACUUCAUCAUCUUCUCCACAGAAAAUAGAAAAAAUUUUUCCUUCCCGUUUGCUCUUCCCCCCUCCUCUUGGCCGGCGCCUAUCUUGUUUCAGCAGAGGCCAGACUAUUUCUUCAUACAGUCUUCCUUCAUACUUUCGUGUAAAUAACAGUGCUGGUCGAAAGGGGCAAAACUAGACAACUCACCUCGGUGUUCUGAGUUACUUACGAAGAUUUGUCUUCUCGAGGCAGGAGCAAAUCCUUUCCUUCAGUAUGCCUCCUGAUUUUGAAGAUGUCAUGGACAAAUGUAGACAAAUCCCCAGAAGACUGUGCAGAUAUCCCCAAAAGUUGUUGGCACGGAUUGAAUCAACAUUCAAGGAUCAUGAGUCAUCUGUGGUGAAAUACUCACUUCCGCUGCUUCGUUUUCAGAUUGAGAUGUACAAGGGAGAGUUCUUUCUGAAGAGGCUAUUACGUCUGAAGAGCAGGAAUGAUGAAAGGCUUAUGGCUCAUCAGAAAGAUCAAAUUAAACUUUUCGUUCAGAAGUUCGAGUGUAUCGCACUAAUUCUCUCAGAUGAAAGAAUUAAGGACAGAGAGGACGUAUUAGGAGCAAUUGGAGAAUUUUUUCACAGGCUGCCAUAUUUGCCUUUCUUCCUCAACGAACAAGAUGAAAUGACCAACCCUUCAUUUCCUGAGCUGUUAGAUAAGGAGACACAUUUGAUCAAGGCAAAGCUCAUGGAUCUUAUUCCUAAAUUUCCAAAGUUUAAUUUCCCAAAAACUUCCAGACUGAAGUCUCUUGAUUUUCUUGGGAGGAAGCUCAGGGAGCUGCUGAAAUAUAAUUCUGCAUCAACUGCAUUGGCGAAGCUCCACACGGAAGAGAUACAAAUACACCUCCAGAAUGUUUCGCAGUUGGACAUUGAGGAGCAUCCAAAGAUAGAAGAUCUCGUUGACCGAUUCACUGAGUUGGCAUAUGAGGCGGAGUACAUAAUUGAUUCAAUAGAGGAUGAUGCUCAAUGGCAGCAUUUCGUCUGGUUGGACAAUGUGCUGGAUGAGUUAAGACUUCUUAGCGAGAAGGCCGGAGGAAUUCAUUUGAGAACCCCUGAUAUGGAAGUCCAAGAUUCCAAGAGUGUCACCCAGGUUUCAGUUGACAAGUUAUCAACAAAAAAUACAUCAGCAAUUGACGAAAUUGUGGUGGAUCUCAGUAACAGAGAAGAUGAAAUCCUCAACCAGCUGACUAGAGGACCCUCAAAGCUGGAUAUUGUUUUUGUUGCUGGAAUGCCUGGUUUAGGCAAGACAACGUUGGCGAGGAAGGUGUACAGCAGUCGUAAAGUCAUGCGUCACUUUCAUCUUCGUGCAUGGUGCUCUGUUUCCCAAGAAUAUGAGAAAAGGAGAUUGUUGCUCGAAAUUCUAACAGGGAUUCAUGGGCUUACAGAAGAGAUUCGCCAAAUGAGGGAUGAAGAUCUCCAAGAUAAAUUGCGUAAGUUGUUACUGAGAAACAAGUAUCUCGUAGUUAUGGAUGACGUUUGGGGUAUUGGAGCUUGGAAUGACUUGAAAAACUCAUUCCCAGAUAAUGCAAAUGGAAGUAGAAUUCUGUUCACCAGUCGCCUCCACAAAGUGGCCUCGGAAAUUAAACCAGACAGUCCUCCUCUUUCUCUUAGCCUUUUUUCUCAGGAGGAAAGUUGGCAGUUGUUAGAAAAGAAGGUAUUCAAGGAAGAAUGUUGCCCCAAUGAGCUGGUGGGAGUCGGAAAGGACAUUGCUUACCACUGUCAAGGAUUGCCUCUUGCUGUUGUUGCGGCUGCUGGUAUACUGAAAACGACAGAAAAAAGCCAAAAUUCGUGGAAAACAAUCGCAGAUAACUUGAGCUCACAAAUAAUUGAUAAUCCCGAAGCUCGGUGCAAAGAAGUCUUAAAUCUCAGCUACAAACAUUUGCCGGAGUAUCUUAAAUCAUGCUUUCUAUAUUUGGGAGUUCUUAAUGAAGAUAGAGAUGUUCUUGUCAGCAAGCUGAUACGGUUUUGGAUCGCAGAAGGUUUCAUACCAGAAACUAAUAAGGGCUCUGAAGAAGUGGCCGAGAAUUUCUUGAUGGAUCUAAUUGACAGAAGCUUGGUGAUAAUCUCCAAAAGAAGAUCCAACGGCAAAGUUAGAGCAUGUCGCCUCCACGAUCUUGUCCUUGAUUUCUGUAAGUCUCAAACCGAGGAUGAGAACUUCUUUCAGCUGAUAACCAGGUCUGAUAAUCCAUAUGCUUCUUUUCCUAAUACAGAUUAUGGUUUCGAAUUUGAUUUUUACCAUCAUUCAUCUCCCGUGUCAUUUGCAUCCUAUCGGUUGGCUAUAUCUUUGAAGAGAAGCCACUUUAUUGAAUCAAAACCUUCUGGCUUGGCCAGCCGUUCCUUGGUUUUCUUUGCUUCUACAGAUUCAGAACCAAAACGCCCUUAUGACAUCUCAUUCAUUUGGCACAACUUCAAAUUGCUUAGAGUCUUGGAUUUUGAAUGCUUCAAUUUGGGUAUUUCAUUUCCCGUAGAAAUUGAAAUUCUGGUACAAUUGAGAUAUUUAGCAGUUGGAGGCUAUUUGGAGUCCAUUCCGCAGUCGAUAGCCAACCUCAGGAAACUGAAAACUCUUAUUGUGAAGGGAUUAAGUCGUAAGAUCACCUUACCAAAUACUAUCUGGCGCAUCACAAGUUUAAGGCAUUUUCAUGUGAGUGUCCACGUUGAUUUCGAUUCAGAUGCUGAAGAGCUUGGUGAUUGCUCCUUAUUAGAAAAUUUGAUCAGUUUUUCCCGCCCAUCUCUUUCUUGUGGUGAAGAUGCAGAGAGGAUUAUAAAGAGGAUUCCAAAUCUUUGCAAACUGAGUUGCAUAUUCUAUGAAUCACCAGAUUCUUCCAUGAACUGCAAUCAUUUUCCGAGAUUGAACUGUCUCACUCAUUUGGAGUCACUGAAGAUAUUCUACUAUGGAAGCCCUCUUAACAAUGGCGAGUUCAUCCUCCCUUUGAAUCUAAAGAAAUUGACUUUAUCAAACUUUCGCCUUCCAUGGAGUCAUAUAUCCACAAUUGGGAGACUACCAAACCUGGAAGUCCUCAAGUUACUUUCUGGUGCCUUUGUGGGGAAAAUAUGGAAAGUGGAAGAAGAGUUUCAGAAUCUCAAGUUCUUGAGCUUAGACAGUCUGAACAUUGCUCAAUGGAAUGCCUCUUGUGAUGAUUUUCCCAAGCUUGAAAGACUCAUCUUACAAAAUUGCAAAGACCUUGAAGAGAUUCCUGCAGAGUUUGCAGACAUAUACACAUUGGAGAUGAUUGAAGUACAUUGGUGCAGUGAAUCGGCGGAAAAAUCAGCAAUUAAGAUUGGAGAAGAAACUGCAGAUAUCAAAGUCCUUAUCAGGAGUUCGAAUUUGAAUUCAUGAGCACAAUUUGGAUCACGUUACUUGUACUUCCAGCAACUUGUAAGUCUAUUUAAUGAUUUCCAGCUUUUCAUACAAUUGCUCCAUUCAUUUUUGAGAUGACACCUGUUGUAUUUCUAUUUGCUUCAAGACACAUAGCUAGUCGAAAACUACUUAAUCUGCUGUUUCAUAAAUUGCAAAGCUCUGUAAAAUCCGGGAAGGUGCAUUUUCUGUCCUCUCGAAACUCAUUGCGCGUUGUUGUCUUAAUUCUAGUGCUAACUUGGAUUUAAACUCGUUAGUACUGUUAAUUGCUAAUUUUGCAACGGACCACUCGUAGCUUCUCAAGCUAGGAUUUUGAUUUGGUAAAUCAUGUUUGAACUUGAACCUGAAAGCAUUUUCUUUGCCUUAGAUAUUUUGGGGAAUUGGUGCUCAAAGGAAUGGAGGUUCAGGUCUAUAACUUGAAGACUACUCAGCUGGAACUUUGGAGGGUCUCGUUCACCAUAAGCAAGAAGUUGUUGCCAAGCUUUGCCUCUCAUUGGAACCUUCUAAUUUUGUAUUCUAGAUUAUGUUUUUGAACUAAUGUAGCAAUCUGACCCUGAUUGCUAGAGGUUUGGUGGAUUUUUUAGAUUGGAUGAUGUGUAUUGGGACCAAUGGCCUUGAAAUCCUUACUUCCUUACUUAAUACUACAUAAGAAGCACUUUCCGUUUCUACAGUAGAGCGAUUUUCAAGUGCAACUUUGCUUAAAUGGAUGGUUUGUACCUUCGAGUGCUUCUCCUUGCUUAGAGGUAUUGUACCUUUGAGGUGGUAGUGGUUGUUGUACAUUUGUUUUGUACUGCCCCUGCUUCUGCGCUGUGACUUCUGUGGAUUUCUGUUCGAAAUUGGAUACACAUAUAGUAUUUUGAACACAAAACAUGUCUUUUUUCUAUUAAACAAGACAUGUACAACUACUAAAACGAGUUUCCAAAAAAUUAGCAAACUUAAAAAUGAAUAAUAAAGUUCGGCAAUGUUCAAGUUUAACCAAGUAAACAAAGGAAAACAAACUGCUAUGAUUUUUGACAAUAUACCAUUCUUAUCAUCUCUUGCAUAUUUGCGUGCACAACUUGUUCAAUCUCAACACACCAAUUGCCUUAAGAUCAAAACAUAAUUUGGAUUCUCAAAACAUUCAAUACGAACAAAAGCUAACCUCCUAAGGGUACAUCUGUUAAGAAAGACAUAAACUGGGGUUCACAACCUCUCCCAAAAACUAAUUUUUAGGUUCUUGUCAGUGACAAAUAAUAUACAGAAUAAUUGACGAAGAGCAUAAAUCCAAUCAUUAUUUUACUAAGUGUGCACAAUGACAAAAAAUGUUCACAUAACCCAAAUACUAAAUUGCAACACUUAAUGGCCACGAUUCAACACAAUUCACAACCAAACGAAAUGUCUAAUAAGGGACCAGUUCACACAUAAACCAGCAUGGAAUAGUGCUAAAAAUUGCUUCUUAAAACAAAGUAUCUGUUAAGAGAAAAGAGUUUUCGGGGAAAUAUUUUCUCUAUUUCAUACAAAUGAUACAAUGGUAUUAGACCUAUAUAUAGGCUUAUAAUAUAAUAGGCUAAGAUUCAAUAAAUCUGGAUAAAUAUGCAAAAUGGUGAUUACCUAUUUAAUCCAUAUCUAACACCUGAUUGAUAUAUAAUUUAAAUUCAAAAAAUUAGAUAAUUAUAAUUAGCUCACUCCAACACUACCCCUCAAGUUGGUGCAUAGAUAUCCCUCAUGUCCAUCUUGCCGGAUGAGUUGCAGAAAUUCUUAAUCCGCACAGUUUUGAUAAGUAUAUUAACCAGUUGAUUUUUAGAUUUUACAAACGAUUAAAAGGGGUUAUGAUUUAUAGUAAAAACAAGUUUGUAAAUAUCACUUAUUCUCAGCAACAAAAGCUAAAUAUAUUAUAUAAUUAGAAAGUUAAACAAGUUAAGACUCUUAUAUUGUUGAGAUAGUGAAGUAUAUCAUCUCAAAUAUAUAAAUAUUUGAUGAAAGAUGAUUAUAUAUUCCUCUAUUAUUUUUAGUUUUAAUGGACAAAAUUAUAAGUAUAUCCUUGCAUAUGAAUUGGGUCAGGUAUCUGCGAUUUUCAAAGUUUUUGAAUUGUGACGGGACGUCCUUCUUUGUUAAUCUGAUUUGCUGCUACCCGAACUACACAUAUUAAAACCGAUUCGAAUAUCCUAAAUUUGCGGUUCAGAUCGAAUCAAUAUUUACGAUUUUUUGGGUUUCUCUGAUCAAAAUAAACAACCUAUGUUACGUAAACUUGCAAAUCUUUAUUACUUACAAUCAAACAAAAAUUUAUUCCUAUCCUACCAUAGAACCCAACAGACAACGGGAAAAAGAGGAAACCAAAGAACAUUAAAGCGGUUAGCAGUUGAGAAUUUUUUACAACCAAAACUGUAAUUAUGAAGUGGAGUUAAGAAGGAAAACUUUAGAUGUAUAUUUAUGAAAUUUACUUGCCUUAUAUAUUUCUAAACAUAUCGAGCUAGACAACGUGAAAAUCGUGAUUGUUCAUAUUUUCGAGAUUGAAAUUAUGUUCAAAUUUGGAUUAAAACCUAAACAAAUAAACUUGAACGGGUUUGGUUCGACGGAGUUCAAAUCAAGUACCAAACUAUUUAGUUUAAUUUACGGCCCUAAACAUCACACAGACUAAUCUCAUUUUCUGCUUACACCAGUAUGCGUAUAUCACAAAAGUUGGCUUCUUGAUGACCACGAGUUUUGCUUUCACUGAAGGUAUGUAUAAUGGUAGCAGCCUCGCUGUGUCGGAGGAAUCCGGUGCUCAACAACGUGAGGGAGAUGCCGCUGGCCGGCACAAGCGGCCUUUUCCUGUUUGCUAAUGGUUAGGCGCAGGCGACAACUCACGACUUUGACCACUGAGCUCCGGCUCAAUAACCAUAAAAAGGGACUAAAAUGGUGAUAGAACGCCCUUUUGAUCAAGUAGAUUUUUAUAUAACCUCUUUAAACUGUUUUUUCUUAAAUUAGAAUAAAUUAAGUUAUAAAAAUAUUAUUAUUACCUUUAAAAAAAAAAAAGACAACUCUAUUACCAUUAAAAAAAAAAGACAACUCCGAAACGGAUAAUGCUGAGUACAACAUACAUGUAAUGAAUUAUUGAUGAUCGUGGGAUUAUUUUCCUUAUGAAAUCGGAGUUUUUCCUUUGCUUUUGUUUUCUCUGAGUAAUUUCAAUAGAGUGCUUAAUUGUUGAAUUUAUAGUAGUAUCUACCACCACCUAUCAUCGGAUAUUGGCGAUAAGUGUUUGUAUUAGUGUUAAUAAUGGAAUGUAAAGAGGAUAAGGCUAAUGAAGUUCAAAUUGUAGCUAAAUUGUAAAUCUCGACAUGUACGCAAAUUAUCUAAAUUAUGCAUGAUACCCAAUUUUACACUCAAAGCUAAUAUUUAUAGAACUUUGGGCAUACUAGGCAAAUCAAGUCUCACCAAAAGCCAUCCACAAAUCCACCAAAAGAAAGAGGAGGAAAGAUACCCUCACAAGGAAGAGCAUCAGCAAGCAUUUCCCAGAUCACAACUGCCUCGUUAACUUCACUAGGAAGACCUGGAGAAGAACCAUACUAUCGCGUAAGACCAGGCUUUCCCUCCUCUUUUUCCCGGGCUUGGGACCGGCUGUCUGUGGAGACAGGCAGAGUUACAAGCAUACUACCACACAAAACAGCACAAACAUACAAACAAGCAAGCCACAAUCAAGAACAAUAGAGAAGAAAGUGCAGACUUAUAUCACAAAUUACUACACAUUCCUUCAAAGCGAUCAAGUCUCACAAUUUACUUUCUUCACUUGUUUUCAUACCAAGUCUCACCUUUUAUCAUAACUGCAGACUUAACCAUUAAAUCAACUAAAUCAUCACCAUUAGUUACGAACUUGCAAAUUAGGGGAAUCAACCACUGAAACAAAUAUGAUGCAACAGUUAAUUUUCUAUAGCAUUGUACCAAAAAGAAUUCGAAAAGGUUUAAGGAAAGCUCCAGUGAAGAGAAUGCGAUAUAAAACAGAUUUACAUACAAAAAAUAAAAUAAAAUAAAAAACUUAAAAAAUUUGAAAAAAAUCAUAAUGCUAGACUGAUAAAGAUCAAAUAUUAUGUAUUGCAAUCAUCCAACAAAUAGACCCUACUCAUGGGACCGUCAUACAAUCACAGGGGCUUAAGCUGCACAGGCAAACCAUAUAGAACUAAUGAUAAGUUGACCUGGAAAACAGGAACUCUUUCAUUUCUUGAAAAAUCCAACGAAAUCAACCUCAAAGUUGUGUACGCACUUCAACCAAAUUGAUGAUUUUCAAUACUCGUAAACAAGGCAUUUGGAUUCCUCUCAAUUUGUCAAUCAUUUACAAAUGGUUCCAUGAACAUAAAAACCUGUGCCAGGGCCUGCCAAAAUGGAACCAUCUCCCAAAACAGCAACGCAUACUAUUGCUGAUCUUAGAUUGGACCUCUUGAUGCCACACCAUAUCUGUUAGGACCAUAAGCAAAGAUUGUCCAACAGCUUCUUCCCAAGGAUGACAGAAUUCAGUCACAUGCACUUUAAAGUUGCAUACUAAAACCUACGUACCAGAGGAUCACAAAAUUCAAGUAUGAAAUGAAAUUCACACAAAAUACCAGUACCAGUGGUAUGUAAGUUGAUGACCACAAAAACAGAUUGCAUGCAUCUGUUAUUACAUGACUGAACAAUAACAGUACCUGUUCUUACAUGACUAUGAAAGCAGAUAUUGCAUGCAUCAAGCAUCUGCUAACUACUGAGCAUAACCGAAUUUCUCUUCCAUUCAACUGUAGAUGAUGAACGCUAGCAGCUGAGUAUUCAAUGGCGAAAGAGGACGAAUCCCGUUAGACCCUCUUCAACAAUAAUGGACAUACCAGUUACCACGCACCAAAAGCCCAAGAACGAUAGGAGGCAAGAAAUAUACCUACUUCACCAUGACCAUGAACCCAUACUGAGUUGCAUCCUAGGCCGCACCCCAUGGCAUAUCAGAAGUUUCUUUCCACAUUCAAACAUCAAAGUCGUCAAUCAAAUUCCAUGUAGACUAGGAAGAGCCACAUCUUUACCAUCUAUAUGACUUGAAAGGAGACAAAAAAAAAAAAAAAGGCAACGAAAGAGAGAGCUCAUCCAAAAUCUUGUUACAAAACCGGUUAGCAGGGUCCCAAAUGCACCAACACUCCGGGAACAAGCUCCUAAAAAUAAAAAAAGACAGAAGCCAUCACCCACCACCCCCAGUGAUUUUUUCAGGCAAAGAGAACAUAGAAAUAGCAGGUUGAAAAGAAAAUCUCCCGAUUUAUUCCCAUCCAUCCAAGAGAGAGCUCUUCUCGCCUACACACACCACAAAUCCACUUUUCUUGAAAGACGACAUCAAAAGAACCAGAGAAGGACAAAUCUUGAAAAAUCAACAAGAACAAAAACACAGUGAUACCUUUUCCUUGAGGAUCAGGAACAGAGACUUCCAAGCAAUUACUGACAACAAAUAAUGCAUAAGGCAUUUCUACAAGCAUGGUGACUAUGGAAGAAGAGAUUUACAAAGAAUUUAGAUUAUAUUUAUAAUAGUCUACAGACAUCAAAAAGUACCAAAACCCUUGAAAUGCUCAAGCCAAAAAAGAAUGAUAAGCAUAGGUAUGAAGAUAAACCCCUCUAAAAUAAUGUACUAGCCUUUGAUCUGAGGACAGAGACCUAUGUUUUGGCCACCCCUCUGAAUCACUGAAAUCCUAGAUUCGACACAGACAAAUUAAAUUAAAAUGACAUAGUAAAUUAAAGAACAAGUAGAGAAAAAUCAUUUUUAAAAGAAAACAGCAAAAAAAAAAGAGUAGGGAAAGAGAGUGCUUAUCCAAUAUCUUGUUACAAAACCAGUUAGCACAGGGUACCAAACACACCGACACUCCUGGAACAAGCUUCCCUAAAAUCAAGACAACAGAGAGAAGCCAUCACCCACCUGAUUUUUUCAGGCAAGAGAGAACAAAAAAAGACCAGGUUGAAAAGAAAAUCUCCCGAUUUUAUUCACAUCCAUCCAAGAGAGAGCUCUUCUAGCCUCCACAUACCAGAAAUCCACUAUUCUUGAAAAAUGACAUCAAAAGAACCAGAGAAGAGAAGACAAAUCUUGAAAAAUCACCAAGAACAAAACAAACCGUCAUUAACCUCAAAAUCUUUUUACCGUCUUUUUACCAAUCAACUCUAUAAGGGAACUGCUCAAAAACCAGAGCAACUGAGUACAGCAAUACAAAAAUAAAGCAGAAAGCAAAACUCAAAAUUAAGGAUCACAAUCACAUCAAUUCCAUAAUUCCAAGAAGAACCGCAUCCCAUAAUUCUAAGAAACAUCGCAUCCAAAAAGCCCAUGUUCCAUCUCAAGUAGUGUUCUGCAAAGAAGUAUGAGAACAUGAAUAGCCUACAAAGACUUGGCACAAAGAUGAGAAUAAUCUUAAAAUAAAAACUGUCGAUAAUUUACCAUGCAAUCAGACCAAUAUGCAUAGCCUUAACUCUUCUUCAGAUCAAGCUGAAUGAGCAAAAUACCAGGAACCUCACCCAUACAAAUAAACUUGAAUAAGCACAGAGAUGCAUUUGGUUAUAACCCAUUCUAUUCAUCGUGGAUCAGGAAAGUUGACUCUGCAAGACAUGCCGCCAGGCCAAAAAGAUUCACAGAUAAAUUAUAAUUAAGGCAUUGAAACCCCUAAAUUCCUCUAGCACAAAAGAACAAUUUGGGUAGGUGAGAAAAUAACUCCCUCCAAAAAAUUUAACUAGCCCUUGAUCUGAGAAUGGGAAGGCAAGUUUGAAACACGAAUCACUUCACUGAAACCCCAAGCUGCACCCUAGUAAUAUAGGAAAUUAUAGAAGAGGAGCAAAUCCACAGAUAUCCUAAUCAAUUUCAAGGAAACAGAAAAAAAACAAGUAGGGAAAGAGAAAACUCCUCCAAAAUCUUGUAAACUGGAAUAGCAGGUCACACAAAUGACGAGAAUGCUCCAAUCCAAACUUCCCUAAAAUGAAGACAAUAGAUAAGCUAUUAUCAACGAAUACCAACUAUUUUUAUGCAACAGAAAGAAUUGGUUGGCAGAAAAAAAAAACUCCCGAUUUAUCACAUUCAUCCAUCCAAGAAGAGCUCUUUUUUGCUUAGGGAAGGAAAGAGAAAACUCCUCCAAAAUCUUGUAAACUGGAAUAGCAGGUCACACAAAUGAUGAGAAUGCUCCAAUCCAAACUUUCCUAAAAUGAAGACAAUAGAUAAGCUAUUACCAACGAAUACCAACGAAUACCAACUAUUUUUAUGCAACAGAAAGAAUUGGUUGGCAGAAAAAAAAAACUCCCGAUUUAUCACAUUCAUCCAUCCAAGAAGAGCUCUUUUUUGAUUCCAUCCAUCCAAGAAUCACGAAUCACUUCACU